rnacentral:lncRNA from 1 species
AUGUUCCAUAUCGUAUGUAUGCAUAAAUCUUGUGCUUGGCGCUUAUUCCUUGAUAAGAUGUGCAUCAACAUCUUUAAUGACAUUGACCAGAAAGCUGAGGUACUUCUGUGGAGGCGGAUCGUUCUCGUUGAGUUUUUUAUAUUCUAAAGUAAUUUUCACAGAACCUCCUUCACUAUUUGGAGUGACCUGGAAAAUGAUCUUGUAGCUUUUGUAAUUGUCCAGCACAUGUGAUCCUUCCAACCCUGUAAGACUCACCCGCUUGUUUGCUUCAUCUAUUUCCACCUUUUCCUUGUAAGUCUCGACAUUUCCAUCUACACGUCACAUGGAAGAGUAUAAUUAUACAGCUAUCCAUGGUCCGAUCCUUUAAAUAUUCAUCGUGUGGUAAUGUAAACCCUAUGCAUGGAGGUCUUGUCAUUUUUAAUUCUAAAAGUACAUAUAUAUGAGGUAACGCAAACCCCUAGCUUGCUAGGUUUCAAGUUAGCAUGCCUAAUUAUUUUGCAGCAGGUUAGUCUGUGGUAUUAAAAAAAAAAUGUUAGUCAUAAGUAUAACCUUAACAAUGUUUGGUUGUAAUUUGCUUGCUCCUUCAUGCAAUCUCACAGUCUCACUACCACCUCCACAAGUUUGCGGAGUAAGCAUCUUCAUUCGCCCCAAAAGGGCUUCGUUUCACUAUCUUUUACACAGCGGAGGCUGUAUAAAGCUACGACAGAACAAAAUUCGGCACCCGGGAGAGGGACGAUCUCCAGAGAUUCUUUAACAUUUUUUGUAUUUCUUUUUUUGUUGAAUCAUUUCUUGUAAUUUAAACAUUUAGCGUCAUCUUGUAAUUUAAAUAUUACCUAUGGUGUAUUUCCAGAGUUUGACAGAGCCAGAAGUUUCCCAGUCACCUUCAUGUACCGCAACAUCGUGUAUUUUAUCAGAGGCUGCUUUGGGGAAGUCAUAGUGCUGGUUGCUGAUGAAUUUGUACAGCUUAUCAGCGUUGGCUUUGAUCUCUACCUCAGCCUCCAUAGUCUCCAGCUUGCAAGUACCAGCUCCACUCACAGCCAUUUUAUUUUAUUUGUUCUUUAUAAUAUGUGAAUAACGAUAGUGUAAGUCUGGGGAAUUGUAGGAGACGUAUACAAACCUAUAGGUUUCCACUUCUUAUAUAUAAAGCCAUGUUAUAGUUACGGAGGCAGUAUGUGGAUAUUAUCCGAUCACUUAAACAGUUAAAUGAUAACAAUGUGAGAGUGGAUCUUCCACGUAAAAUUUUAUCACCACUACACACCUACCAGAAUAAAACUUUUUUCUUUUUUUUUUUAAUUAAAAGAAGAAAUGUCAAUUUCAUUCCGCAUUAUUAUCAUGGAACAAGACAUUAUUUUGAAUACAUUGAAGAAGAAAAAAAAAUAUAUAUAAUAAGUUAGAGGGGACAUGAAGCCUAGCCCUAACAAGAAGUAGAAAACUAUUUGAAACAACAAUCAAUUAAGACAACUCCUAAGAGAAACAAGAAUUUGGAAACACCGAAAGAUUAUGAGCAAAAGUCAUAACUGCACAUGACGGAUAAGAAUCACACAAAUAAUGAAAACUAACAUGAUCAACAUAAUAGUUUGCUAAACAAUUUGUUACAUGAUUUCCUUCCCGAUUAACGUGAGAAAACUGAACAUGCAUGGAAGAGAGAAUGGUAUAGUAAUUUGUCAAAUCAACCGAUAAACUAUGGUGCAUUGCCAAACAAGAAUUACACUCAUUUCAAAGAGAAUGCUGCUAACCCCUUUCGAAAGCAAUAUAAAUAACAUGAAUAAUAGCUUUAAGUUUCACUUCCAAAGCAGUAACAAUGCCAAAAAAAUCUUGUAUUAAAGCAUCAAAGAGACCCAAGUGAUCACGAAAAAUACCACAAAAACCAGCAAACUUGAUGAGACAUUUCAACACGUAUAUAUAUAAGAGGAUCAAUGAUUGAUCAACUUUACCUCCAUAGCAUUAUUGGAGUGAAUGAUUGUACGAUAUUGAGGCGUUUGUUUGGAUUUGGCACGAGGAAAUGUGUGUAUAUAUUGUAUAUAUAGUGAUAAAACUAAUUUAGGUUUAUAUUACCUUAACUAGUGAUAAAAUUAAGGGUUCUUUAGAGCUAAUAGAAAUCAAUGGUUUAUAUUAUGUUGACAUAACCUAGAGAGAGAAAAAAAAGAGGUUGUAUUGUCAUCAAAAUAAAAUUAUGACACAAACAAAUAAUGUGGAGUUCAUGUUACUUAUUUGGAAUCAAUCAAAGCUGAAUCAUUGAUGCCUAAUUUCAGAAAAGUUUUUCUUUUCUGGAUGCAGCAUCUUUUCACAGGAUUUUUUUUUCGGUUGUUGUAUUGUGAAGGAACUUCUUGGAUAGUUUUUUUUCCCUUUUACACUAGCUUAGUGUCUUCCUGCCAAAAUAAUGACACAGAAAUUUUCAUCAAAAGGGUUGGCGAUGUCGGGCAGCAAAUGUAGUUUCCCGUGAAAUUGCAAAACUUGCUCACAAUCUGAUGAUUUUGUCUCUUGGGUUGGCUCUCCCUUCUCCUAACUGCUGAAGACUGAUGAAGCAGAAAUUUAAUCAUCAAUGAAUUUCCUUGACUAAUCCAUUAUCUUUCCGUUGCCCGUUCUCUUUGAUUUGUUCAUAAUCCGAUUAUUGUUCAUUCCAAUUCCAAGCGCGUAAACGUGCCCUCAUAGUUAUGGACUUGUUCGCAUCGUUUAAUUUUCCUUGAAUACCUGACUUUGUCGCCUAUGGUUUCACAAGAAAAUAAUCUCUUUGUUAAACCAGAAAAUUUAACGGUUCAUUAAUUAGCAACUAUUUCAUUUUUUAACAAUAUUUGGCUACUCAAAGGAUGAGUAAGAGUUCCUACUCAAACCUAUUUGUUGCCGAUCCAUAGAACUUCAUGUUUAUAAUAGAGCAGUUCAUAUUAGAAAUCACUUUAUAAAAAUUGUCUCUACAAAAAAUCAAUUAGACUAAGGUCGUUUAGUAGUCGAACUGUGAAAAAACAAAGGAAAGAAAUUGGUGAAAACAUUACAAACCAUUUAUGUAUUUACUAGAAUAAAUUGACUAAAUGACCUUAAUUUUAAUUCAAUUUUUGCAGAAAUGAUCUCCACAGUGUGAUUCAUAAUAUGAACAGUUCUGUUCAUAAGCACAAACUUCAGUGAUUCGAACAUGAAAAAUUUUGAGUGGGAGUUCUUACUCAUCUUUGAGUAGCCAAGCAUUGUUCUUCAUUUUUUUUUAUGUCAGUAAUAGUCUGACAAAGAACAAUAAUAAGUAAACUGUGAAAAAAAAAAUAUUUUACAAAUGGAAAAACAAACAAAAUGAAAAAGAAAAUAAAUUAAUAUUUUAAGUUGUUUUCACUUUGAAAAUUUUGUUUUAUUCAUUCCCUCUUUAUCUAAUUCUUAGCCUUCAUGUAUUGAAUUAUGCAUUGUAUUGUAGAAUCCAAAAAAAAAAAAAAAAAAAAACUUUUUUGGAAUCCAUAUGUGUAUAAGCAUGAAAUUAUAGCCCACCCAUAUGAAAAUUUUGACUCCGCGGUUGCAUGUAAGGAUAAACAUGCCAAUAGAUUAAACUUAUUCACACUAUAACAUAAAAAUGCUAUUACACUCAAUUAUAGAAGUUGCUCAAAAGACUAAAGACAGUCCAAGUCGGAACUAAACAACAAGGCUAUAGCUUGCUCUUCUUCCAGCCUUUAUUCUUGAAGAUAUAAGAUUAUCUCCCCUCUUAAUCUCUCUUUCCAUUCCUCCUCUCCUAUUUAAAUGUUUACCGCGUCAACAUCUUGUUUUAAAUUUAUUAUAUAGAGAAAAAGACAAAAAGAAAAGUGUAAGAUGAGGAGGGAGAAUGAAAUGGUAUUGGAAGGUAGAGAAUCCUACUCCAAGUGUUCGUUAGGGGAGAGGGGGACCCUGAGAGCAGAAGACUCUUCAUCUUCAGGUUUGAGAGUAAACGCUUUACUGUUGAAGAUAUAUAGUGAUUGACACAUCAUCAUAAGUGCUACAUCAGCUAUUGGAGUUAGUUAGUUUUUUAAGAAUCAGUUACACAAGUGGCUUAGCUGAUAAGCUACAUGUGCAGACUAUAUAAAGGAAUCAGGGGUCUUUUGUAUCUCUCUUCAUCCUUAUGAAAUAACAAAACUUUUACUCAUUUCUUUCUCUAGUUCUCUCUCUAUUCCUUUUGAUCUUUCUCUCUCUAUUCCUUUGAUAUUGCUUGCAUACAUUCAUCUGUUAGUUGUUAGAUGAAUGUUAUCAUGGUAUCUUCGCCGAGGGUUCGAUCUCGUGGUGUGUAUUUCCGCUGUGUUGUGCCAAAAGAUUGUCUUGAUUGCUGUGCUGUGCUUUAGUGGGUUAAUGAGCUUUUGGCGUUUGGGAAGUCAGACUUCGAGUUUAUCAGGUGUUAUUUUUCUUUUUGCACUCCAAGUGUGUGUGUAAUUGUCGCAAUGAUGAAUCUUUUGUGAAAGACUAAAAGUUGAAGGCCGAUAGCCAUUUCUUGAUGUUUGGAAUAUGAUAUUGAAUGUCAAUAGCCAUUUCUUGAUGUUUGGAGUAUGAUAUUGAAGGCCGAUAGCCAUUUUUCUGAUUGAAUAAUUGUUGAAGCGUUUUCUGUCAAAGCAUAAAGGCCGAUAGCCAUUGCUUUUGUUUGAGUGUUUGUUGGGUUUUUUCACAAGAACAAGGCCGAUAGCCAGUAAUGUGUGUUCUUGGAGUUAUUAUACUUCUUGAAGAUUGUUUGAGUACUUGAUUUCUUGAUUCAGUUUCUAUCAACAAUAUGGCGUUUAGUUCUAUCAAAAUUGAAAGUCUUUUGGGCAUGAUCACUGUUAAGUUGAAAGAAGAUAAUUUUGUCAAAUGGGAUUAUCAGUUUCAAUAGGUGCUUAAGGGGUAUGAUUACUUUGAUUUCUUUAGUGGGGAGUCUCAGUGUCCUCCAAAGUUUGUAAUUAAUACUGAGACUGGGGUCACUAAAGAAAUUACUACUGCAUAUAAAGACUGGGUUAAAACAGAUGUCUCUCUAUUGAGUUUGUUGAUUGCUACACUUUCGGAUGAAGCUAUAGACUAUGUCAUUGGGUGUAAAACUUCUCAAGAAGCUUGGAAAUCUUUUCAGGAACGAUAUGCAUCUGUAUCUGUUGUCCGGGUUAAUCAACUCAAGACUGAGUUUCAUACUGUACAUAAAGGUGCAGAUUAUGUUGACAAGUAUUUGCUUCGAUUGAAGGUUAUCAAGGAUCAACUGGUUGCUGCAAGGGAGAGAAUCACUGAGAAUGAUUUGGUCAUUGCUGCUUUGUCUGGUUUACCUCCAGAGUUUGAAAUGAUCAGGACAGUAAUCUUAGCAAGAGACACUCUGAUUUCAAUGAAAGAUUUUCGAGCUCAACUAAUUGGGGCUGAAGGCAGUAUUGAGUCUCGACUGACAACUUUAUCAAGUUCUAUGGCUGCCAUGUAUGUUCAGGGCAAUGGCUCGAAUACACAGGGAUCUCAGGGAAAUACUCCAAGUUAUGAACAAUGGGAGAGUUCAAAUGCACAAAGGUCUCAAGGGAGGAAUAAUUACAAUAGUGGUAAUAACAACAGGAGGUAUAAUGGGAAUAAUUUCAACAAUCGAAAAUUCUCUGGUGGUUAUAAUGGUGGGAAUAAUAAUUACAGGCCAUAUUCUACUUUUGGGAAUAAUGGGAAAGGUGUUCAAAAUGGAGGUUCUCAAAGUUAUUUUUCUGGUAAUGGAAGCAAACAAGGAAACACUUGGAAUGGUGAUACAAAUUACAGAAAUGCUAUAUCUCCUGAAUGUCAAAUCUGCUAUAGAAGAGGUCAUACAGCACCAAAUUGUUACUUUGGAGCUGAUAACAAUCAAUCAUCUGGAGGGAUCUUGGUAUGUCAGAUAUGUGGGAAAAUAGGUCAUCGGGAUUUGGAAUGCUUUCAUAGAAAUAACUUCUCAUAUCAAGGCAGUGCACCACCCACAUCUCUUGUUAGGAUGGCUGCUCAAGGCUCAAAUGUUGCAACUGAAGACUCAAAUAUCCAUGGUUUUUCAGCUGCUGAUACAUAGGUAGUUGACACAAGUGCAACUCAACCACAUGACAUCACAUGUCGAAGUUUUAAAUCAUAUCACUCCUUAUAAUGGUGAUGCCACGAUCACUGUUGGUAAUGGAGAAGGUUUGGUGGUUAAAAAUAUUGGUUCUUCUGUUCUUAACACUCAACAAAAGUCACUCAUUUUGCAAAAUGUGCUACAUGUUCCACACAUUACAAUGAAUUUGUUGUCUGUUAAGAAAUUAUGCAGAGAUAAUAAUUGCUGGUUUGUAUGUGAUGAUCUGAUCUUCUUGAUACAGGACAAAGCAACUCGAAGGAUUGUGUACCAAGGCCAGAGUGAUGAUGGGGAGCUCUUCAAGAUACCAAUAACAGUGCUGUCGAGAUCCAGAGUACCAAGUAUUGAAAGAUGUGCUGCUUUUGUUAGAAAGAAGCUAAAGACUGCAGUUUGGCAUAAAAGGUUGGGUCAUCCAUUUGAAGAAGUGCUUACUGCAAUGUUGAAUAAGUCUAAAGUAUUAGCUAGUAUAGAUUUGUCUCCAUCUAUAUGUACUGCUUGUAUUCAAGGCAAAAUGACUAAGUUGCCUUUCUCUGUAAGUCCCGAUAGGUCAAAAGUUGUAUUUGAAAGGAUACAUUCAAAUAUAUGGGGUCAUUCACCGCAUAGGUCAAUAGAGGGUUAUAGGUAUUACAUAAGCUUUGUAGAUGACUGCUCUCAAUUUGUAUGGAUUUUUCAGAUGGUUAAUAAAUCCGAUGCUUUUCCAAUCUUUACCAAGUUUCUUACAUUUCUUGAGAAUCAGUUUAAUGCUUUUGUUAAAGUUCUUCAAUCAGAUGGUGGAGGUGAGUAUAUGAGUAAUGUGUUUAGACAGUUGUUGGAGAUAAAAGGAAUUAUACACCAAGUUUCAUGUCAUCAUACACCACAACAAAAUGGUCUUGCUGAACGAAAACAUAGACAUUUGGUUGAGAUUGCUAUUAGUUUGCUAUCAGAUGCUCAAUUACCUUCAGCAUUCUGGUAUCAUGCUUGUUUUCAUGCUGCAUUCUUAAUCAAUAGGAUGCCAUCUAGAACUUUGAAGAUGUAGUCUCCCUAUCAAGUUGUGUUUGGUUGUGUUCCUGAAGUGCAGCAUCUUAAAGUCUUUGGUACUGCAGUUUAUCCUCUAUUGAGACCAUUUAAUAAAAAUAAAUUGGAGCCAUGGUUAGCUCAAUGUGUAUUUCUUGGUUUUGCUCAUGGAUAUAAAGGAGUUAUUUGUAAUGAUAUCAAGACUAGAAAGUUCAUUCUGUCAAGGCAUGUAGUACAUGAUGAAGAUGUAUAUUCGUUUAAACAAGUUUUGCCAUCUAAGGAUUCUACACCUACAAAUAGGUGUUCUCAGACACUUGUUUUGAUUCAGUUACAAGUUCCAAGUGAAAAAGUCCUGCCUCAUACACACAUACAACAUGAUUCACAAGCAGCUAGUUCUAUACAUAUAUCAGCAAGUGAUACUGGUUCACAUCACAGUAUUCCUGUAAAUGGUGACAGUAUAAAUAUGGUUGGUGAAUUGAAUGUUUCUAGUUCGGACAAUACACAGGUGAUUCAACCUAGUGAUCAGGAUACAAAUUCGACUGAUACCACUACUCUACAUGCAUCUCCAAGCUCUUCCCAUCAUCACUCUGGUACACAAUCCUUGUUGCAUGUCCACUCCGAGUCACAACUUGAGGUAAUCCUUCCUGAUUUAUCUCCAUUUGAUCUCAUUUUACAUACUGCACCAUCGACUUACUCAAUGGUCACUAGAUUGAAGAGUGGAACAAUUGAGAGACAAAAUUAUGCUGCUUUAAUAGCACAAUGUCCUGAGCUUUGUUCUCUCCAAAUCACUAAUGAAGAACCUUUCACGGGUGGCUAUUCCUUUCUUUCUGAGAUCACUGAUGCUUCAGAACCGAAGACAUUUCGGAAAGCGGCUACUAAUCCACAGUGGCAAAAGGCAAUGCAGGAGGAAUAUGAUUCACUUCGAGCACAAGGAACUUGGCUAUUGGUUCCUGCACCUGAAGAUAGAACAAUUGUAGGAAGCAGAUGGGUGAAGUGAAGAAAAACCCCGAUGGCAGUGUCUCUGAUGUGAAAAUUACUUGACACACAAAUUAAACCCUAUUGAUGACAAUUGUAGCAAAGAUGUUAGUAGGGAUCGUUCUAAACCGGGAAUUAACUAGGGCUGCUAAUCUACUCAAAUUAAACUCUAAAACACUAAACUAGACUUAAAAACACAAGAAUAGACUCUAUAGACUCUAAACUGACCUAAGACACUCAAAUCUGCAAAACUAAGUGAAAUUGACUCAAUUCUAAACCUAACAAGUGAAUUGGACGAAAUUAAAACUUACUUUGACUCAAAAGAUUAAAAGAAAACAGAUUGUAACUUAACUAACUUAGAAAACACUUAAAAGACUCAAAACAGCACAAUACUAACAAUUAGACUCAAAACAGAUUCUAGAGAUGAAAUUGGACGAAUUUAAGACUAAACUAAGACCCAAACAAUGGUUAUGGACUAAACCUAACCUAUAUUGACUCAAAACACUCUAAAGAACCUAAUUAGGACAGAUUCUGACCUAAUAACAUAAAACAGAAAAGGGUGUUUGAUUUCUGACGAAAUUGAAUUAAAACUAAACAAAUUGCAAAUCAAAGUAAACUAAAACGAAAUUAAGAUGAAUUCAAGGGUGAAAAGCUAGUUAGAGGAUCCUUCUCCACACAUGAACAUAUGCAACAUAAAUCGAUUUCCAGUAUUGUUUCUUUAAACCAUGAACGACAAUGCCCCAAAUUAAUCGUGAAUGCACAAAUUAACUCUCAGAUUUCCCUAAAUUCAUUGAAUUGGAUGAAUGCAUGCAACAACCCAAAUUAUUCUUCUCAAGUUCCCUAUAUGAACAUCAUGAUAGAGAUACAUUCAAAGAUCAUUAAAUUCCAUGGAAAUCAUAAGCAUUGACAAGGCAAUUAUAACUAUGAACUGCAUGAUACUUUUGCCAAGAAUCUACUUAACACGAUUGUGACUAACAAUCUCCACUACUUGUAAUUAUAAGUUUCUAACGAUUAGGUGAAAGUCCCUUAUAAUUUAGCAUCAGAUUCAAGCAUGCAAACUAAGUAGGCCUCCUUAAUCAACACACAAGAAUAAGUUAUCAAUCAAAUAGAUAAGUAAAUCGCAUUCAUGUUUUACGAAACAAUAACUGAAAGGAAUCAAUUCAUAUUAACAUAUGUCCAUGGCUUCAAAUUCACCACUAACUAAUAAGAGUUUAGUUCCACAUGUUCAUAACAAUUGAAACGCAAAUUAAAAUAAACAUCGAAACUGAAACGAGGGAAGAAAAAACUAUGAAAACUCCCAAGGAUGCAGAUGGCUUGCGCACAAGGCCCUCCUUCAUCAAUGGAAUGCACGACAAGGUUCUCCUUCUUCUCCAAAAGGUGCGGCAGAGAUGUAUAUGGAUGUAGGAUGGUGUUUUGUGAUGUAGAAUGGUGAUUAGGGUUGCGGCAAGGUGUUUCUGAAUGGUGAAGGGUGGUGACAAAUUUAGGCCUUAAAAACACAUAUAUAUAGGCAUGGCAAAGCUAGGGUUUUCACAAAAUUUGAUGGGAAAAGGUUAGGGUUUUGGAGAUAAAAGGCUUGGCCCAUUCAAAGGAGAAAAGAAUUAGGGUUUUAUGCAGAUUCCUAGGCUUCUAGAACACUAGGUGCGGCACAACCCUAGGGUGGAUGGACUAGGGUUUAAAUUUAGCAGAAAAUAAAGGAUUAGGGCCCUAGGGUGCGGCAUGGGCUUAGAACAAAGCUGAAAAAGGAUUAGGAAACUUCAAAUUCAAGAGUAGAAACUUUCAAGAAUGGAAACCUCCAAGAAUAGCAACUUCCAACUUUAGAAACUUUGGUUUCCAAUUCUGAACUCUUUGCUCUUCAUGUUCAUUUCUUCAUUUCUUCCCUCCUUUGAUCUUCAAUUUCGUUCAUCCCUUUGGCUCCAAGCAUGUGAUAUCCAUUUUAUGCUCAAAACUGCUUCAAAAGGCUCCAAAUUGCACUUUCUCGCCAACUUUGUCAUUUGGACCUAAAAACACACGAAAAUAGCUUAAAACACUAUAAUAACCACAAACUAACUAUAAAAGUGCAAGAAAACAAGCUAACUAAGUUGCAUAAAUAUGCUCCUAUCAGUCUCCCAGUAUAAAGCAAGGCUUGUAGCUCAAGGGUUCUCCCAAGAACAUGGUAUUGACUACUUGGACACAUUUAGUCCUGUUGUUCGACAUACUACUGUAAGGAUUAUUCUUUCUUUAGCUGCCAUGAAUCAUUGGACUCUUCGACAAUUAGAUAUCAAGAAUGUUUUUCUACAUGGAGAUUUACAAGAAGAAGUUUAUAUGCAGCAACCACAAGGGUUUAUUGAUCCAUCAUAUCCUUCUCAUGUUUGCAAAUUGGUCAAGUCAUUAUAUGGCUUGAAACAGGCUCCACGCGCGUGGAAUUCAAAGUUUACAAGUUAUUUGACAGUUAUGGAGUUUCAUGCCUCAGCUUCUGAUACAAGUUUGUUUGUCAAGAAGGAUGACUCUGAUAUCAUCAUCUUAUAACUUUAUGUUGAUGAUAUCAUCUUAACUGGUUCUAAUCCUUUGAAGAUCCAAAAAGUGAUUCAAGAAUUAUCUGAGGUAUUCGAGUUGAAGGAUAUGGGACAGCUUACAUAUUUUUUGGGUUUACAAGUUCAAUAUAAAGCGGAUGGCAGUGUUUUUGUUAAUCAGUCUAAGUAUAUCAAAGAUCUUGUCCAUAAAGCAGAUAUGGAAUCGUGUAAACCAGCAACCACUCCGUGUAAACCUCAUCAUCAAAUGUUACACUCUGAGGGACAAUUGUUGACAUAUCCAACUUCCUAUAGAAGCAUUGUGGGAUCUUUACAAUAUCUGACCUUUACUAGGCCUGAUAUUGCCUUUGCUGUAAACACAGUAUGUCAGUUUAUGUCCUCACCAACUGAUGUUCAUUUUGGCGUUGUUAAACGCAUCAUUCGUUAUCUUCAAGGAACCAUGAAUAUUGGUAUUACUUUUUCUGCAAACACAGUUUCAAAGCUUACUGUGUUUUCUGAUUCUGAUUGGGCUGCAGACUUGAAUACUUGUCGGUCUAUCACUGGUUAUGUUGUGUACUUAGGCAAUAAUCCAAUUUCUUGGCAAUCGAAGAAACAAAACUCGGUAUCCAGGAGUUCUACUGAGGCUGAAUAUAAAGCCUUAGCACAUACUGCUGCAGACAUAGCUUGGAUUCGCAAUAUAUUGAAGGAUUUGGAUGUACUUUUGGAUGCUCCACCAACAAUUCACUGUGACAAUAUGUCCGCUAUUGCCUUAAGUGCCAAUCCGGUGUUUCAUUCAAGAAUCAAACACCUUGAUACAGACUACCAUUUUGUACGCGAACGAGUGCAGCAAGGCGAUCUGGAGGUGUUGUAUAUCCCAACUGAGGAGCAAACUACCGAUGUUCUUACCAAAGGUCUUCACAGUCCUUCACUUGUCAAACAUUUUUACAAUCUCAAGCUGGAAAAUCCCGGUUGAGAUUGCGGGGGGAUGUUGAAGAUAUAUAGUGAUUGACACAUCAUCAUAAGUGCCACAUCAGCUAUUGGAGUUAGUUAGUUUGUUAAGAAUCAGUUACACAGGUGGCUUAGCUGAUAAGCUACAUGUGCAGACUAUAUAAAGGAAUCAGGGGUCUUUUGUAUCUCUCUUCAUCCUUAAUGAAAUAACAAAACUUUUACUCAUUUCUUUCUCUAGUUCUCUCUCUAUUCCUUUCGAUCUUUCUCUCUGUAUUUCUUUGAUAUUGCUUGCAUACAUUCAUCUGUUAAUUCUUAGAUGAAUGUUAUCAUUUACAUCCUACACCAUGCUAAUAAUAUCCACCAAUUCUCUAUUUUAUUUAAAAAUAAAUAAAAAAUAUAUAUGAGGUAACGCAAGCUCUAGCUAGGUUUCAAGUCUACCAUGUUUAUUUUGUAGCAAGCAAGUGGAAUUAAUUAAGAAAAAUUUCAGUUUGGGUUAGGAGGAUAGAGGAGGGUGAUUAAUAUUACCUUUGGUGUAUUUCCAGACUUCACAGAGCCCGAAGUUUCCCAGUCCCCUUCAUUUACUGCAACAUGGUGGUACAGUAUCAGAGGCUCGGGAAUGUACACGUGGUGCUGGUUGCUAAUGACUUUGUACAAACGAUUUAUCAGCGUUCGCUUUGAACCCCCCAGUCUCCAGCUUGUAAUCACCAGCUCCACUCACAGCCAUUUUUUAUAAAGGAAAUUAAUGAAAAUGAUUCGAAAAUUUUGAAUUUUAACUAUAAUAAUAAAUAAAUGGUAAAGUAAAUAGUACCAUGAUUGAUUUUUAGUGUAAAUAUAUUAUUUUUCCUUAAAAUAAACAAUAUCAGAAGUUUUUCGUUCAAAUUCUCUUUUUUUUAAUUAGUAAUUAAUAUUAAAGUUCAUCUAAGAUUAUUUUUUAAAGGAGAUAUAUAUUAAAAGUAUCAAAUAGAAAAACAAGACAGCAUCAUUUAAAAAAAGGAAAACUAAUGAAAAUUGCUUGAAAACUUUGAGUUUUAACGAUAAAGACAAAAUAAAAAGUAAAGUAAAUAGUACCAGGUUUGACUUUUUAAUGUAAAAAUGUGGUUUUUCGUUAAAGUGAACAAUAUCGCUGGUUUUUCGUUAAAACUCCCUUCAAAAAAAGGGAAAGGGAUCAUUUUCGGAUUUGUUCUACCUAAUCAUCCUCAUCAAAUAAUCCGAGCUUUUAAAAUUUGAUCUAACGGCUAAAGUUAUUAUAACUUUUAGAAUUAGCCCGUAUUUUUAACCGUUUAAUCAAAUUUUAAUGAUCUGAAUUAUUUGAUGAUGAGAAUUAGAUAAAAAAGAUUGAAUGAUCGCUUUUCCAAAAAAGGAAAAAGAAAAACAAGACAGCAAGUUUCUUUUAACAGAUGAAUUUUAUUAGAGGUGGAACUGGUGUCCAACAUCCCAGGUGUUUUCUGAUAGCAUAACCCAAUAACGUCAAAUCCAUUAAUUUGAUUAUUUAAUAAAUGGCUCCCACAAUAGGAUUUGGAUCCUCUCCGAGGCAAUUGGUCGGAUCCUUCUGAUCAAUGUUUGUGGACUGUUAGAUUUUUAUUCAACGACUAUAAAUAAGGGGACAUUCUAAAGUUAUAAUAAUUGUAGUCGUUGGAUAAAAAUUCAACGGUCCAUAUACAUCGAUCUGGAGGAUCCCGACUCGAAGAGGAUCCAAAUCCCCCACAAUACACCAAUCACGUACCCCACCCAACCAAUUUACACAAUUUUUAACAGUAGGUCCCACAAUAUAUAAGAAAAAAGAAAUUUGACUCAUCAUUUGAAAAAAUAAAAAAAAAUUAACAUUUAACUUCAAAUACUCAUUUUAGUCAUUAAAUAAAAUUUAACAAUUUAUAAAUGAGUAAUGUUAGAGAAGCUAAUUUUUUAGACUAAAUUUUAUAAAUUAUAUGUAUUUGUUAACGAUUAAAUUAUUAUUUAAGUGUUGCUUAAUGUUUAUAUAGAGCCACAACCCACAAAGUCCUAGACAAAUAGCAUGUUUUAGUUAUGGAGGCAGUUGUGGUGGAUAUGAUCUGAUCACUUGAAGAAAAUGACGAGUCUGCGGAUCCUUGUGCAUCUUCAUCUUUGACAUGGGAGGUUUUAUGACUAGACCUACCAAAUUUAAUCACAACAGCGAACUUGAUAAUGAGACAUCAAUAAUUCAACGAUUCAGAAAACUUCAAUUAAAUUGGGACCCAUAAAUAAAUAUGCUAUUACUUCUUUUGUAAUCAAAGCUGGAUCAUUGAUGCCUAAUUCAGAAAGAGAAGUGUUAUUGGCACUUCAAAAGUCUCAUUGUACACUCUUUACAAGUGUAUUUUUCUUUCUUAAUAUAGAAAAUUUGGAGUGUAGAAUAAGAUUUUUGAAAUGCUACUAACAAUUCCCUUAAAAAAAAAAAAGGUUUUUAUGUUUUGCAUGCAACAUUUGGACACAGGAAUAUUCUUUGGGAUUCUAAUUGCGCAUACGUAUUAUCUUUCAAAUAUAUAAAAUUUGAAGUGCAAUUAAAUUUUUAGAAUGUAAAUAAAAGGGGAAACUUGAUAUAACUUCAAUUUUUUGAGCCAAUAGUAAGAAUAGUCCAAUUUAUUAAAAUAAGUCCAAUUCUUUAAAUUUAAUUAUUUUAUUAUCAAUAAUUAUCUCUUAAAAGAAAAAACUUAUUGUAAAAAUCAAAUUUCUUCCUAAUUAUCUCUUUGAUUAUUUCUUUUUAUUUAUUUAUUUGUUAUUUCUUGUUCUUCCUCCUGCUUUAACCCAUUUAUAGAUUUUUUUAAAUUUUUAUAAUCAACCUAUAUCAUAGGUUAAUUGUAUUUAUCUACCUAUAUGACAUAUUCUCUUUCAUAGUCAACAUGUCACAUAUUAAUGUGUCUUGCUUGUAGGUAUAUUAUAUUUUUUUCUACUUUUUAGUUAGGUUUCAUAUCUCACUUAUAGGUAUAAUAUACAUUCAUAUAUUUGCUACUUGAGUUAGGGUUUACUGUUUUGCAGAUAGAUUUAUGUUAGUAUAUUAAUUUUUUUUUGUUUAUAAGAUAUUAGUUAGAUAUUUUGGAGUUGAAAAAUGCAUAAUAUUAAAAUAUUUUAAUUGAUUUUUAAUAUUUUUAGAAAAUAUAAAAGGAGUAUAAAAGAAAUAAAAACAUAUAAUUAGAUAACUGGAGUCACUUCUAAAAACACUCUAUGUUUUUUGACCUGGAUCUAAAAGCCCCUAAAUAAAAUUACCUUCUUUUAUUGGUUUUUUUUUAAGGCUCGCAAAAAUGGUUGUCUUUGUUGUUUGGCGAAGGAACUUCAUGGAUAUCAUCAUAUUGUGGUCUUCUUUUUCACUUGUAUUGCUAAAAAAUAACUAAUUACAAAUCAAUUUUCAUCAAAAGGGUUGUUAAAUAAGAUAUUAAUUAAUGCUAUUUUUUUUCUUGAUACUGUUUGGGUCUCUCAACCUCGAUCUAUUAUUUUGCAUUUUAUUUCUUCCAUGAUCAUAUGUGUCUCCAUUGUUUAACAACAACUAAAAAUACUAUUGUUUCUUUAAAAAAAGUACUAUGUAUUUGACUAAGGCGAUUUUAUAUGACGAUGAGCAACAAAGUGGAGAUGGUGCACUACACCUUUUAUUUUGCAUACCAUAGUUCAUACAUUACAAUCUCACAUAUGAUAUCCCUUCACGUACAUUUGUUACAAGGCAACUUACAAAGCAAAGCAUUUUAAUUACUUGUAAUCAAGCAAAAGGCACGCAUUAUUAACACAAAUAUUAUAUACUAACGAUGGACGUCACACUGUUUCACCAUUGCAUUCUUUUCCUUUCCUUAAUUUAUCAUGCCUUGAUAAAGUGAGCAUCAAGAUCCUUGACGAUGUUAACCAUCAAACCGACGUAUUUGUCCGGACUGCAACAUCCUCAGUCAGUUUCUCAUAUUCAGUCGACAAUUUUGCAAUGUUGUCUUCAUUCUUUUGAGUGAAUUGAUAGACUGGCUUGAAGCUCUUGUAAUACUGGAAGACAUCUCCUUUCAGUCCAUUCAGUGUUAUGGAUUUGUUCUCGUUGUUUGACUACACUUUUUCCUUGAAUACUCGAACUUCGUCCCCUAUGUAUUCACAAGAAAGUGGUCUCUAUAUUGACCAAGGAACAAUAUAAAGGGAGCGUUUGAUAAAUAAUUUGUUUUAAGUUUUCACAAAAAUGAAAAUUGAAGUUAUUUUUGUCAGUUUUCUAAAUUUAUAUUAGUAAUUUUUAUUUUUUGAAGACUGAAAUAACAUGAGAUGGUUGAAUUAUUGCGGCACACCUCGAUUCUUUACCAACAUAUUUUGUUCUAAUUAUCCAUUAUAUCAAUAUAUAUUUUUCACGUAUGGGUUAAAAGUUGUUCGCUUGUGAAUCAGGGUUUAGUUAUUGCGAUCCUUCUAGUAUUGCUGGAUUAUGAUUAACAUAUAAUUGUGUUCUGAUCUUAGAGAAAAAAGGUACAUACCAUGUUAAAUACAUGAAGGUAUUUAUAUAUAAAUAUAGAGCUCGUUUGGAUGUGCUUUUAAAAUGGUUAAAAACACUUUUAGAGAAAGAAAAAAAUUUGUUCCAAAAGCACUUAAAUUGCUUUCUGCAAGAAGCAACAGUUAUGUGCUUUUCCAGGAAGCACUUUAAAUGCUUUUCCAGAAUUAACUUACAUUUUUACCAAGGAUUGGUUUUAAAAACAUUUUCACAAAAAAUGUUUUCAAUCAUUUUAAAAACAUAUCUAAACAAACACAUAUAUUAUGCACGUAUACUGAAAUUCCAACUUUUGAUAGAUCGAGCCAUGAGUUUCCUCCUUCAUGCACGUGAACUCCCUGGAUACUUCCAGAAUAAAUUUUUGGGACGUGUGGCGAGCCUGGCUAUUGAAGAUAUUGUAGAACUUCUCAGCAGGUGCCUUAAUUUCAAUCUCUGUUCGUGCAGAGUCAUGUUUAUGAUCAGUUGGGAUGGUGCUCAACAAUGCGUCGCCAAGGCCUGUUCUAAAGAAAACUUAAGGUCACCCCUCUACUGCUACAGUUAAAUUAUGCAAUAUUAAUUUAUGCUAUAACUUUGAAAAAGUAGUGCUUCGAACGAUCGCAUGAAAAACAUUCGUUUAUUAAAAAAAAGGUAAAUCGUCAAAAUGGUCCUUGAGAUUUGUAUAACUUAUCACUUUGAUCUCUAAGAUUCCAAAUCGAUAAAAGUAGUCCCUGAGAUUGUCUACCAUCCAUCAUUUUGGUCAUUCGGUUAAAAAAUCCGUUAAGUGUCCCGGAGCUCUUAGCCGGAGGUUUGGACAAUUUUCAAAACUUCGUAACUCAAUCGUUUCUUAACCAAAUUUGACCCAUAAUAUAUCAAAAUGAAGAUAGGAAAGUGUAGAAUAAGAUUAUACCUAUUUCAAAGCCCAAUGGUUGCCGAAGAUUGUCAGAAAAUAGCCUCAAAGUUGACUGGUUCGAGUGAAAACUUGAAAACUCGCUGGAAACUGAGUAAACUUUAAACGUUCAUAACUUCUUCAAUACUCAACGAAAUCAAGUGAUUCAAAAACAAAAAUCAUACUUCUCGAUGAGAUGAAGAGAAUGAUACCUUUUUAGAUGGCUAAAUCGUCGUGGUUUGGCCGGAAAGCAGCUCGAAAGUGGCUAACUCGAGACCAAGAUAGCCACUUUCAAGCCGUUUUCCGGCCAAACCACGGCGAUUUAGUAGUUAAAAAAGGUACCAUUCUCUUUGUCUCAUCGAGAAGUAUGAUUUUCAUUUUUGAAUCACUUGAUUUUGUUGAGUAUUGAAGAAGUUAUAAAGGUUUUGAAGUUUACCCAGUUUCCGGUGAGUUUUCAAGUUUUCACUCUGACCAAUCAACUUUGAGGCUAUUUUCUGGCAAUCUCUGGCAACCAUUGGGCUUCGAAAUAGGUAUAAUCUUAUUCUACACUUUCCUAUCUUCAUUUUGAUAUAUUAUGGGUCGAAUUUGAUUAAGAAACGAUUGAGUUACGAAGCUUUGACAAUUGCCCAAACUUCCGGCCAACAGCUCCGGAACACUUAACAGAGUUUUUAAUGGAAUGACCAAAAUGAUGGAUGGUGGACAAUCGCAGGGACCACUUUUAUCGAUUUGGAAUCUCAGGGACCAAAGUGAUGAGUUAUGCAAAUCUCAUGGACUAUUUUGACGAUUUAUCCUUAAAAAAAAUUCAGAUAAAGAAAAUGAGAAAUUAAUUUCUCAUCCCUCUUUUUUCUAUUACAUUGAUUAAAAUCUUAUUUUUGAUCAAGGUCCUAACUUUCAAUGAACGUCAUUAUUUCUGUUAUAAAUUAUUUAUAUAUCAACAUAAUUAAAUUUUAUUUUUGAAAUAUAUUCAAUUAGUAUUAGAAACAUUACAUUUGGUACAUUUAUAUUUAUCAUUAAACUUUGUAUCAUAUAUUUCUAUUUUUAGUUUGUACCAUUUUUAAUUGGCAACCCUUUUUUAAUUUGUAUCAAUUUUCUUUUUAAUUUUAAUGUGUACCGAUAUAUUAAUUUCAUUUUGUGCCCAUAAUUUUUUUUAAAUUUUUUUAUACUCAUAAUUCAUUUAUAAUGUACCCAUAUUUCAUUAAAACUCUUUUUUUUUCUUUAUAAAUGUACCACUUUGUUAUAUGUAAGAUGUACCAAAUUGUUUUUUUUGUAAAUGUACCAUUUUUAUGUAAAAUGUUCCCAUAUUUAAUGUAAAAUCUAUUUAUUUUUUUAUUAAGAAUGUGUACAUAUUUAUAAUAAAACGUUCCCCUUUUCAAUUUUUUUGAACACUAUGGGUACAUUUGUUUGACAUUUAUUAUUUCAAAGGUAUAUUGUUACCUAUUUUUAUCUAUUUAUUCAAUCAAAAUUUUUGAGUAUUUUUUUUAUUGUAAUCGUUUUUAAUUUAUAUGCUAUAUAAUAUGGGAUUUUAAAUCUCAUAACAUGUCAAGUAAUUAAUAUCAAACAAUGAAAAUACAUAUUAAUAGCCAUAAUGAGGUGUACCUUUAAAGUCAAGGGACUUUGAUAAAAAAUUGAAUACUAUUAAAGGUUUAGUCAAAUAAUGUUAUUGACUAGGGACUGAAUCCAAAGUCUCUCUAAAAAAUAUAUAUAUAUAUAUAAGACAAACGUACGUAAUCACUUUCGGUUCGAUUAAGAACAUGAUUUGGAUCAAUAAUAUUAGGGUGCUAAUAUUGAUAUCAUUAGAUUUCAAUUACUAAUCACUGGUUUUUUUGCAAUAUUAUACUUUUACUCAACUACCACAUUUUUUCCCUUCUGGAUGUAUGAAAAUUUAGGUAUUGCGUUCGUUCUUUUUUGAGAAGUCAUCGCCAACUCCCUUGCCCUACUAUUUUUAUCAAGGAAAAACUCCCCAUGUUUAAAAGCUGUAUAAUUAACCAGGAUGAAUGCUGGACAACUGUCGAAAGCAAAACUCAAAGUUCAUUGUAUAAUUAUAACAGUGAGACUACAGCCUGACGAAGAACAUGAUUGUCAAAAGUUAUAUAAAAAAAAUGAUAUCAGAGUAAAUCUCCAAUGAAUCGGAAAGUGAGUCUUUAAAAUAUAGAGUCUUAAGUGGAUUAGUGUAGAAUAUCUUUUGUACUAAAAAAAAAGUUAUGUAUAUAAUGUUGAGAAUGAAUCCCACAUUGAUAGGAGGAGUGAUAAGGAUUUUUAUCACCUGCAAAUAUAAGGAUAAAAACACUUAAAAAUACUUGCAAAAGUACAAGGUUGUCGUAGUAUAGCAGUUCAAGCAAGGUCAUUUUUCACAGGAAUUGAAUGCAUAGUUUAUGUUUAUACUAAUUCUUAGCUAAUUAUUUAGAACAAAGAUUGGAAAAGGUUGAUUUUGAAUUUAAAAAUAAUAAAAACGAAUUUAAUUAAAAACAAUUAAAGGAAUUUACUAGAGAACAAUUUAAAGAAAGUCAAUUUGUAAAGAUUAGGGUUCCGCCGUUCCCUUAACAAUCCUACGCAAUUUUACCAAUUACUUAUGAAUUUCCACACACAUGCUUUGAAGGUUAGGUUUUCCUAAUGCAUAUUUUUCUCGUGAUGUUCAAGCGAAAACAUAAAUCUAACAUGCAACCCUUUUGUAAUGUUCAGAUCAAAUAUAAACAUGCAAGACUCAUUAAGCUUUGUGAAAACCCUUUGAAAAACCAUGGAACCCUUAAGAGCGUGAUGUUCGCCUUAAGUGAACUUACAAUUACUAAUCAUAAGAAGCCCUCCUCAAUUUCAGGGUGAUGUUCUGUCACAUCCCGGCAUCGUGCUAGGUAGAUAUGAGAAUAUACAUAUAAGGAUCACUCCCCUGGGCGAUGUGGGAUCUUACAAUCCACCCCCCUUAGGGGCCUGACGUCCUCGUCGGCACACCACAACCAGGGUUAGGCUCUGAUACCAAAUAGUCACAUCCCGACCUGGGCCCCCAUCACAUCCCGGGCUCGACUCCACCGUAGCACGAUAUUGUCCGCUUUGGGCCCCGACCACGCCCUCACGAUUUUGUUUCUGGGAACUCACACGAGAACUUCCCAGUGGGUCACCCAUCUUGAGAAUGCUCUCGCGCGAACUCGCUUAACUUCGGAGUUCUUAUGGAACCCGAAGCCAGUGAGCUCCCAAAAGGCCUCGUGCUAGGUAGAGAUGAGAAUAUACAUAUAAGGAUCACUCUCCUGGGCGAUGUGCGAUCUUACAUGUUCCAACCGAAAUUGCAUCAAAUUACUUGUCUAAAAAUCCUAAUGGUCGCAAAUUACUAAGACAAUUAGAUAGCUUUAAUCGCAAUGAUUAAUAAUUCAAAGCAAGCAUGCAUCCAUUCAUAAGGAAAUUAAUAAAAUCACAUAUUCAUGCUAAGGCUCAUGGCUUCGCCCUAGCAAACAGAAAUUAGUUACGAACUAUAAAAACUAAAGAAAAUAUAUUAACUAGAAAAAGGAUUGAAAACACCUUGUAGGUAAAAAGUCUGAAAUUCUCCAAAAUAAUGUGUGCCUUCUCCCCCUAACCUUAAUGGCUAAAAAGCCUUAUUUAUACUACUCCAAAUUAAAACCCUCAUAGAAAAGGUUUUCUAAAAACUAGGAAAUAAAAUAACAAAAGGAUAACUAAGAAUUGCAUUCCUAUUAUGACUAUGAAAUCUGCCCAUAAAAAAGAUAGCCAUGUUUCUGGAUCUUCAGGGUUCCAAAACAGACCCAAAAUGGCUAGAAUUAAAGAUUAGGACCUCCUCUUCAAGUUAGAAGAAGAACCCAAGUCCAAAAUCCAUCAUCUUCCAACCCAAAAGUCACAAAUAAGCUCUGCAGCCCAAUCUGCCAGCACUGCACGCUGGGCAUAAAUUAAUUCACCACGAUCUGAUGCUUUGAGAUAAAAUUAUGAAAUUCUGAUACAAUCUUCUUGACAGACUCACGAACCCACUCCAAUUGGAAUCACUAAAAAAUUCCACCGUUUGAGUACUUUAUGAUCAAAACAAGUUCGCAUGUCCUACAAUAAAAACAUAGAGCAAAGCCUCAAAAUCUCACUAAAAUAAUAACCAAAAUAUACCAAGAAUAGGGAAUAAUAUAUAGUAUAAAAUUGACUCAUUAGGACAUUGCAUGAACUUAUAAGUAAGUUGGGCUACUUUCUAUAUUGCCAAUUGGUUUUAUGGUGUAACCUUAACUUUCUUCAUACCCAUGUGUGAAGCCAAAAGACCACGCACGCUCCAUGUCACCCAUUUGUGUUGUUCACGUAUUAGACUUGAAAAUUCGCCACACGUGAGGGCGCGUAUUAAGAAUGAAUCUCACAUUAAUGGGAGGAUAAAUCUUGCAUGCACCUAUAAGUAGGUUGAAAAACAAUAUUGGACAAAUAUUGUAGAGUACACCACAUUUUAUUUUAUAGAUGCGAUCGACAACCAUAAUCUAUUACAUCACAAUGUCAUAUAUGACAUCCUUCGUACAUCUUUUACAAUACACACAAACCUAAUUAAGAAAAGCAUUUUAUUUAAGUAGGUACGCAUUGAUGAACAUAUGCAUGCAUGAUUACAUAUAAUUGAACCCUUUUUAACAAGACCAGCAAAAGCUCUUUCCAACCGUUGCAUAUGACGUAUGGUUUUUAUUCAUUAAUUAAUUAAUUUAUGCUCCCAGAAGGUGAGCGUCAAGAUCCUGGACGAGUUUAACCAUCAAACCGACAUAUCUAUCUGGAGCUUUAACAUUCUCAUGCAGUUUCUCGUAUUCGAUCCACAGGUUGGCAAUGCAGGUGCCUUCAUCUUUUUGAGUGAAUUUAUAGACACCCUUGAAGCUCUUAUAAUACUUGAACACUUCUCCUUCCAAUCCUUUCAGAGUUGCGGCUUGUUCCCAUCGUCUAGCUCCACCUGUUCCUUGAAUAUCCCGACAUGAUCCCCUAUAUAUAUGCAUGCAUGCAUUCAUGGUUAAUUUCAUAACAACAAAAUAUAUAAACUUUCUCACCCUCUCUUAUUAGGAUCUUGUUUCCACUGUAGCAAAAAGGGGGCAAUAUGACUUAUUUAGGAAACAUGUAUUUACUGUAUAUGACUCUCAUUGUCUAGAACAAAAAUUGAAGGAAGCAUUGAAAUAUAUAUAAGAGGUCAUAUAUGGUAAAUACAUGAUUUCUACGAUUGUUCUAUCUCGACCUUGUUUUUGCUACAAUAAAUCAGAAUUUCUGCGAAAAAGCUGUAAACAUUGAAACUCGUGCUAUGAACGUAUGAUGAUUUGAGCGCAUCUGUUAAGGUAUACAUACAUAUAAAGUGAAUAAUUAAACAGGAAAAUUGAAUUAAGUAGCGGUACCUAGUUCAUAUUUCCAAAUCUUAACAGAGCCGUGUGUUUCCCAAUCUCCUUCAUGCACAUCAACUCCUUUGAUAUGGGUAUUAGAGAUGUUUGGGAUGAGGUGGGCGCUCUUGAACAUGUUGUACAACUUGUCAGCUGGUGCCUUAAUUUCUAUUUCAGUCCCAAUUUUACCAUGCAAAACCAUGUUUAUGAGCAGUUUUGAUGGGUGCUACUCAGAAAUUAUAAGAGAAGAAUGUUAAAGGAUAUGUAUAAUUUGGGCUCCUACCCUCCUUAAAUAGAAGCGACUAGAGUUAAAUUGCGAGAUAAAACUUAAUAUAUCCGGAACACGAUACAGUACGCCAUAUAUAUAUAAUAUGUAAUAUAAAUAUGGAGGGAAAGUUUUUUUUUUUUUUUUUUUUUUUUUUUGCAAGUGUUUCUCUACUUGUGUAGACGUAUGUACCCGUGUUCUAGAUAUUAAAAAUUCUCCCGUAAUAUUUUAAUAGUGGGUAAUCCAAUUUAAAAACCAAAUCAUGCAACACGUGAUAAAGAUUAAGUCAUAUAUUUUUUAAAUCAUACUUCUCGGAUAAUUGGAAUCCUAUGAAGUAAUGAUCACAAGUUCACAAUAUGCAUGGAUAGAUGAAGGGUUUGCUCAUGAUUAAUGUUAGGGAGACCAAAUUUCUAAAUCAAAAUUUGUAAACAAAAUAAUGUGGAGGUAAAUGAUUGAAUUAUUAUUUAAGUGUUAAUUAAUAUGCUUGUUUCUUAUUAAUAACAUAUCAUUUGAUUUGCAUUCACGCAUGCGAUAAAGAUUAGAUUAGUACGAUCACACUAAAAAUUUAUAUGUAAAUGUUUUAAAAUAAAAUGUAAUUUAUCUGCAAAAUGUUUUUUUUUUAAAAGGUACGAUAUUCUUUAAUAACAAAUUUAUACGUACAUCAAUGAGGAUAGGGUGUAAACAAAUGGCCUCGAUAAAAACCUUGCCGGGGUUUUUAACCCGAUCGAAGAGAGAUUUUUCAAUGUGACCGUCACACAAGGAGGUACACCACGUGUCUCUAUGUAAAUGGUUAGAUAUGUGUGUUAAAAGAUUAAUAACUUAAAAAUUAAAAUUUUCCACCACUUACAUAAAAAUACGUGGUGUACCAUCCGUGUUCCUGUCACAACUAAAAAUUUUCCCCGGUUGAAGGGAAAAAGAGUGUCCCACACCAACAUAAUUAAUUAAGAAUUGCUAUCCUAAAAAAGAAGAUCAAGAAUUACAUUAGGAAGUUCCUCAGACCAAACCACACAUUGUUACCAUAACUCAAGCUCAUACGUGCUAGCCUGUGUGCCACCUUGUUCGUCUCCUUUUGACUAAAUUCAACCUUCCACUUGGACAAUGAAUGAAUAAUUGCGUGUGUCGUUUAGAAUGUUUCCAAAGUGUGAGGUGUCAAUACUUCCUUCUGCAAAAUGUUUUAGAAUAAAAAGUUUUAUAUCUUGUAGGAUCACAUCUAUUUAUUUAUUAUCAUUAUUAUAUUUUUGGAAAGAUCGAUACGUAUGGGCCAUGGCGUCUGGUUCUUUUGUUAAAAAGCCAUCAAAUGGGGAGGCAUGGAUGAGGUAUUAGGUAUCCACAAAUGUCAGUUCACAAAAUAUUAUACUAAAAGUAAUUGAAAAGAAUCAAACAAAUAUUAAUUCUUUUCCCAAGAUAAUCCACUAAAAUGAGGGUCCACAACAUAGUUUUUCGGGAACUUUAACGAAAAACACCCGGUACUGUUCACUUUAACGAAAAACCACAUUUUUACACUAAAAAAUCAAUCCUGGUACUAUUCACUUUACCCUUUAUUUUGUCCUUAUCAUUAAAGCUCAAAGUUUUCAAGCCCUUUUCAUUAAUUUUCCUUAGUUUUUUCCACUAGAGUUUAUUGAUCCUUGAAGACUAUCAUUGACGAUUGAUCAUCCAACAGGUGCAUUAUUUAUUUUUUAACAAACGGUAAUAGUUACUAUUUCUUGAAUUGGAUAGGGGUAUCGAUACUAUUUCUUAAAUAAAACAUUAAUACUAUUAUUAUUCUUAAACUGAAUACUGGCACUAUUACUAUUUUUUAAACUGAACAUUCAUUAUUUCUUAAACCGAGCGCUGGUACUAUAACUAUUUCUUAAACUGAACAUUCAGUAUUUCUUAAACUGGACAUUCACUAUUUCGUAAACUGAACACAAAUAUUAUUACUAUUUCUUAAACUGAAUAUUCAUUAUUUUGUAUACUGAACACGGAUAUUAUCAUUAUUUCUUAAACGUAACACUAAUAUUAUUACUAUUUCUUAAGCUGAAUACUGACUAUUUCUUAAAUUGAACAAUAACUAUUUUUAUAAUUGAAUACAAGCACUGUCCCUAUUUCUUAAACCAAAAAUAGUGAAUUAGGGUUUAGUUAUUACGAUAUAUUACUGGAUUAUGAUUAACAUAUAAUUGUGUUCUGGCCUUAGAGAAAAAAGGUACACACCAUGUUAAAUACAUGUAGGCAUUUAUAUAUAAAUAUAUAUUACAUACGUAUAUAAUUCCAACUUUUGAUAGAUCAAGCCAUGAGUUUCCCAGUCUCCUUCUUGCACCUGAACUCCCUGGAUACUGCCAGAACAAAUUUUUGGGACGUGUGGCGAGCCUGGCUCUUGAAGAUGUUGUAGAACUUCUCAGCAGGUGCCUUAAUUUCGAUCUCAGUCUCAACCUUACCGUGCAGAGUCGUGUUUAUGAUCAGUUGGGAUGGCACUCAACAAUGCGUACAAGGCCUGUUCUAAAGAAACUUAAGGGCAGCCCUUUUCUGCUACAGUUAAAUUAUACAAUAUUAAUUUGAGGUAUUCAUCAAUUUACCUCCUAACUUAUAAGAAUUGGUCAAUUUUCCUUAUCAACUUUCAUAAUUAAUCAAUUUGCACCAUACUAUUAAUUUUUUAAAAUUUUUCAUCCUUUCUUCUGUUAAGUAUGUCAAGUGUUAUCCGCAUGACUGCCUUUAAAGGGUAAAAAGGUCAUUUUACCUACACCUUCCGUCUUCUUUCUCUUCUCCGAACUUUCUUUUCUUCUUCUUUUUCACCAAGCCGAGCCCGUACUGUUCCACCGUGCUCCACAGGCACGAUUUUCCCGGCGAACACCAAAAGAAACAGUGGGAGGGAUCUGAGCUCGUAGAUCCGCGUUCACUACAUCCCCUUCUUGCACUCCUCGCAAACCCUACCCUCCGAUUCUAAUGGGACACCUCCCCCGUCGCCACUGAGUUCCUGAAGAAGAACCGCGCAUACGACUUGGCCACCACCGCCGCCACUCCAACCACUCCCAGAGCCACAGGCGCGUGCUCCCCCGAAGACCCGCACCUGAAGUUGGCGCCCCCAAUUAUGAUCGAGUACUUGGACUUUCUCUUUCCCGGAUCCACGAAGCGCGUGGAGUAGGAGGCGGGGAGGUUGCAUAGCGUGUAAGACCCUAGCUUGGCGAUGUGGGGAGAAGAUGAGAUGGAUUUGAUCAAAGACUUGCCGAAGAAUCUGGGGAGAAGAUGCGGGGACUUUCUCUCCCGUAUUACUUAUCCUAUCAUUUUCCUUGUACGGGCUGCCAAACGAGGCCUUAGUAUGCUAUUGCCUUGUAUUUGAAAUUAGACAAUCGUUUUAUUUAAAAAAAAACAAACUUACUAAGUUCACACUUAAACAUAUUUAAACAAACUUACUAAGGUCAACACACUUGCAGAUAACACAAUUAAAACUAAACAUACCAACAAACAUGGAUCACACUUACAAGGCCAAACAAAGCAUAUAUAUAUAUAUAUGUAUGUAUGUAUGUAUAAUGUAUGUAUGUAUAUAUAUGUAUAUUAUAUUUAUGAACAGUAUUGCCCUUGCUCUUGUCUUUGCCCAACUGGUAGUAGAGUUGCACAGAGACAAAGUUGUUGGUAUAUGGUCCAGCCCAUGAUCAAUGUUCUAGAUUAUUCUAGUAAGCAAGAGAUGAGGCUGAAGCUUGCUAGACAAUUCUAGAAUGUUAUUAAGUUGAUGGAAGAAGCUAGAGAGUACUAGCUUCCUUGGUUGCAAAUGGAAAGAUCUAGAAGCUACAAGUAUAUGGCUAGUCUAGAUUUUUCUAUACUAGAGGUUUGAAGAAGGAACUAGAAACUAGUAGAAUGCCAAACCCUCACCUAUAAAUAUGGGUGUGAUGUAACCAAUUGAGAACCAAGAGUGAGUAGCAAAGGAUCAAGUCCAAAGCUAGAGUUCCACUCCAAGAGUGAGAGUGAGAGUGUUCCACUACACAUUGUGUGAGUGAAGUUUAGAGUGAUAGAAAGUGUGUGUUAUACUUUCUUGUAUCCAUCAAGCCUUGUCUUUGGCUUGGUAAGACUACUCUUGUUGUAUUCAUCUUUUUCAUAUAGUGAAGAUUGAUCCUUGUUUGGUGGACGUAGGCAUAAAUUGCCGAACCACAUAAACUUUUCUUGGCGUCCAUUUUCUACUUUACCUUGUGCAUUCUCUAUCUUGUAGUACCGACAUUCCUAACAAGUGGUAUCAGAGCCCGGUUGGCUCGUACUACGAGAUGGAAGGAAGUGGCACUAUGAUCAAACUCACCAACUCCAAUUGGGUAACAUGGAAGCCAAGGAUGGAGGACAUUCUCUAUUGCAAGGAUUUGCAUGAGCCAAUUGAAGGAGAUGCCGCUAAGCCCGAGAGCAUGUCCGAUGCCGAGUGGAAGAAGAUGAAUCGCAAGGCUAUUGGCACAAUUAGACAAUGGGUGGACGAUAGUGUUUUUCACCAUGUGUCUAAUGAAACCAAUGCUCGCGAGUUUUGGACAAAGCUUGAGUCCUUGUUCGAGAAGAAAACUCCAGCUAAGAAAGCCUUCUUGAUCAAAGAGCUCAUCAAUGUGAAGUACAAGGAUGGUUUAAGUGUAGCAGAACACUUGAACAAUUUCCAGAAUAUCAUCAACCAGUUGGCUACUAUGAAAAUGAUGAUCGAGGACGAGCUACAAGCGCUCUUGUUACUUGGAUCCUUGCCAGACAGUUGGGAGACCUUUGUGGUGAGUAUAAGUAACUCUGCUUCUAAUGGUGUUCUUACUCUUGAUAAUGUUAAAAAUAGCAUGCUCAAUGAAGAAACAAGGAGAAAGACUUCUGGCACAGAUAGCAGCCAAGUAUUUGUCACAGAGAACCGCGGAAGAAGCAAGAGUAGAGGGCCUAGAGGUCAUGGCAGGAGUCCUAGCCGAUCCAAGUCAAAGUUCAGGGGUGCAUGCCACCACUGUGGCAAAGAAGGCCAUAUGAAGAAAAAUUGUCGAGUUUGGAAGAGAGAGCAAAGGGAAGGAAACAAUCAGAAGAAAGAUGAUACUGGCAAUACCACCGCUGUCAUCUGUGGUGAUGUACCAGAAAUAUUGUCUGUUGGUGAAUGUCUGCAUAUGGGCAACUCUGACAGAGACAUUGAAUGGAUCUUUGAUAAUGGAGCUUCCUUCCAUGCUACGUCCAAACGGGAGUUCUUCAGUACAUACAAAGAAGGUGACUUUGGCAUAGUGAAGAUGGGGAAUGAAAGCUAUUCCAAAAUUCUUGGAAUUGGUGAUAUCUGCUUAAGAACUAAUCUCGGCUGCCAAUUGAUGUUGAAAGAUGUGAGACAUAUUCCUGAUAUACGUCUCAAUCUGAUAUCCAUCGGUACCCUUGAUCGACAAGGAUAUUAUCACCAUAUUGGCGAAGGAAAAUUGAAGCUUACUAAAGGCUUAAUGGUGGUAGCAAAAGCACGACUUUGUUGUACGUUGUACCGGUCAAAUGCACAGGUUUUUGAAAGGUGAGUUGAAUGCUGUGGAGGACUCAUCUCUAGACUUAUGGCAUAAGAGGCUGGGCCACAUAAGCGAGAAAGGCCUACAAGUUUUGGCAAAGAAGUCUCACAUUCCCUUUACCGAAGGUACGUCGUUAAACUCUUGUGAGCAUUGUUUAUUCGGAAAACAAAGAAGAGUUAGUUUUUCUGUUCCAUCUACAAAGAAAGGAAACUUGUUAGAUCUUGUUUAUUCAGAUGUGUGUGGUCCCAUGGAAGUCGAGUCACUUGGAAGAAAUAAAUAUUUUGUUACUUAUAUUGAUGAUGAUGCUUCACGAAGGGUGUGGGUGUAUUUGUUGAAAUCCAAAGACCAGGUGUUUCAGACAUUCCAGGAGUUCUAUGCCAUGGUGGAGAGGGAAACUGGGAAACCUCUCAAGUGCCUUCGUAGCGACAACGGCGGCGAGUACACAUCUCACCAGUUUAGAGAGUAUUGUGUAAAACAUGGCAUACGUCAUGAGAAGACAGUUCCUGGAACUCCACAACAUAACGGUGUUGCUGAAAGAAUGAACCGAACCAUCAUGGAGAAAGUCAGGUGUAUGUUGAGGACUGCAAAGUUAUCUAAGCAGUUCUGGGGUGAAGCUGUAAGGACAGCCUGCUAUUUGAUCAACCGAUCUCCAUCAGUACCAUUAGGUCUUGAUGUUCCAGAGAGAGUAUGGACUGGUAAUGAUGUGUCUUACUCUCAUCUGAAGGUGUUUGGUUGCAAAGCUUUUGUGCAUGUGCCCAAAGAGCAGAGAUCGAAGUUAGACUACAAAGCUACACCGUGCAUCUUUCUUGGUUAUGGCGGUGAAGAUUUUGGUUACAGAUUAUGGGACCCAUACCAGAAGAAGUUUAUCCGAAGUAGAGACGUGGUCUUUUAUGAAGAACAAACAAUUGGGGAUUCGGAUAAAGAGGCACAACCAGAUGGCGCAGUCAGAGGAGUUGAUCCAUUAGCUUCAGAUGAAGAAAGUCACGAUGACAUCCCUGAAGCAACUGCCAAUGAAGUGCCUGCAGAAUCAGAUAAUGCUAAUCAAGAGGAGCCUGAUCAAGAUGUGCCAAACCAUGAGAUUGCUCAUCAGGGGAGCCUAGUCAAGAAGAGCAUAUUCAAGGAGAACCCAAUCAGGGGGAGCCUCCAGCCCUACAAGAGAAUGAAGAUCAGGUCAGAAGAUCCAUCAGAAGUCGAAGACCGUCUACCAAGUAUUCUUCAUCAGAGUAUAUCAUGUUGACUAAUUAUGGAGAGCCCGAAACAUAUGAGGAGGCCAGAGCUCAUAACGACAGUGACAAAUGGAUGAAGGCAAUGGAGUCGGAGAUGGAUUCCUUAUCAAAGAAUGAUACCUAUGAGCUGGUGGAGCUUCCAAAGGGCAGGAAAGCAUUGAAAAACAAGUGGGUGUUCAAAUUGAAAAGAGACGACAACAUGACAAGGUACAAGGCUCGUUUGGUUGUCAAAGGUUUUGGUCAAAAGAAAGGAGUUGACUUUGAUGAGAUUUUCUCACCGGUGGUGAAGAUGACUUCCAUUCGAGUUAUCCUUGGUAUGGCAGCAAGCAUGGAUCUUGAGCUCGAGCAGUUAGAUGUUAAAACUGCAUUUCUCCACGGCAAUUUAGAAGAGGAGAUAUACAUGGAGCAACCCAAAGGCUUUGAAGUCAAAGGUAAAGAAAAUUUGGUGUGCAAGCUCAAGAAAAGUUUAUAUGGUCUUAAGCAGGCUCCGAGACAGUGGAAUAAGAAGUUCAACUCACUCAUGGUGAGUAAUGGGUACAAGAGAACUCAUGCUGACUCUUGUGUCUAUAUCAAACAAUUUUCUGGAGGUAAAUUCAUCAUCUUAUUGCUUUAUGUUGAUGACAUGUUGAUUGUCGGACAAGAUACCUCUAUGAUUAAAAAGCUCAAAGAAGAGUUAUCUAAGUCCUUUGACAUGAAGGACUUAGGGCCAGCCAAGCAGAUUUUGGGCAUGGAUAUAAUUCGUGACAGAAAAUCCAAAAAGUUGUGGCUGUCACAAGAAAAGUAUGUUGAACGGGUGCUUGAAAGGUUCAACAUGAAAGCAGCCAAAUCGGUAAGCUCACCUUUAGCCAAUCAUAUCAAGUUGAGCAAAGAGUCAUGUCCAAAAACAUAUUGAAGAAAAGGAGAAAAUGGCAGUUGUUCCCUACUCUUCAGCAGUAGGAAGUAUCAUGUAUGCAAUGGUGUGCACACGGCCAGAUAUUGCUCAUGCAGUAGGUGUGGUGAGCAGGUUUCUCUCUAAUCCAGGGAAGGACCACUGGGAAGCUGUUAAGUGGAUUCUCAGAUAUUUGAAAGGGACUUCUAAGAUGUGCUUGUGCUUUGGCGGUUCCAAACCAAUCUUGGAAGGAUUUACAGAUGCUGACAUGGGAGGUGACCUGGAUGGUAGAAAAUCUACGUCUGGGUACUUGUUUACUUUUACAGGGGGAGCCGUGUCUUGGCAAUCCAAGUUACAAAAGUGCAUUGCUUUGUCCACAACCGAGGCUGAAUACAUAGCCGCUACAGAAGCAUGCAAGGAGUUGUUGUGGCUGAAGCGGUUUCUCCAAGAGUUGGGUUUGAAGCAAAGUGAUUAUGGCGUUUAUUGUGAUAGUCAGAGUGCUCUGGACUUGAGCAAGAACACUACAUAUCAUUCACGCACUAAGCACAUUGAUAUUCGUUAUCAUUGGAUUAGAGACGCUAUCGAGAACAAGUUGCUGCAGCUGAAGAAGAUUCAUACCGAUAAUAAUUCUUCAGACAUGUUGACAAAGGUAGUCACAAAAUCAAAGUUGGAAUUCUGCAUUAAGGCUGCUGGGAUGAACUCCAGGUAACUUGGAGUCAUGAUCGGAAUUCCUCCCUCAUGGACUGGAGGGGGAGAUUGUUGGUAUAUGGUCCAGCCCAUGAUCAAUGUUCUAGAUUAUUCUAGUAAGCAAGAGAUGAGGCUGAAGCUUGCUAGACAAUUCUAGAAUGUUAUUAAGUUGAUGGAAGAAGCUAGAGAGUACUAGCUUCCUUGGUUGCAAAUGGAAAGAUCUAGAAGCUACAAGUAUAUGGCUAGUCUAGAUUUUUCUAUACUAGAGGUUUGAAGAAGGAACUAGAAACUAGUAGAAUGCCAAACCCUCACCUAUAAAUAUGGGUGUGAUGUAACCAAUUGAGAACCAAGAGUGAGUAGCAAAGGAUCAAGUCCAAAGCUAGAGUUCCACUCCAAGAGUGAGAGUGAGAGUGUUCCACUACACAUUGUGUGAGUGAAGUUUAGAGUGAUAGAAAGUGUGUGUUAUACUUUCUUGUAUCCAUCAAGCCUUGUCUUUGGCUUGGUAAGACUACUCUUGUUGUAUUCAUCUUUUUCAUAUAGUGAAGAUUGAUCCUUGUUUGGUGGACGUAGGCAUAAAUUGCCGAACCACAUAAAUUCUUGGCGUCCAUUUUCUACUUUACCUUGUGCAUUCUCUAUCUUGUAGUACCGACAUUCCUAACAAAAGUAUUGUUCAUAGUAAAAAGUACGGGCAAGCCAACUGCCUUGUUCUUACACUUGCGUUCUCCAAACGGGUGAAACUGCUAUUAUGAUCGGUCUGAAGUAGACGCGCUUAUUCUUGCGUGAGGAAAUUAUCAGUCUCCUUAACAAGAUAACAGCUAACUGGAGCUGAAGUUGGGGAUCCGGAACCCAUCAUGUAGCUUUUCAUAUUGUAGAACCAAAUUCACCACGCUGCCCUCAUCAUGAACGCCUAAUUUUGGAGUAACUUGUAAAGUGAUCUUAAAGCUCUUGUAUCGAUCUAGAGGGUUUCCUUCAAGCACUGUGAAAGUCACCGAAUGAUUUACAUCGUCUAUGGCUUCAGUUAACUCCUUGGAAAAAGUUGGUUUCCCAUCUGCUAACAUUUCAUCACAAAUCAAUUACUUGCUUCAUCCACAAAAAAACAUGUCGACAUAUAUAGUAAGAGAACAAUCUUUCAGCCACACUUACCUUCAAUAUAAUCCCACAAGAAGACACAACCCACUUUACCCCAUUCACCUUCAAGUAAUUUAUGACUCGGAACUUUGUCGGGGCUGAUGUUGCAUAUUUCGUACGGUGUUCGUGCAAAGAAUUCAUGGAACCUGUUUGCUUCAGACUUGAUUUCAACACUCGUCUCCACCUUGCUAGAAUUUGACAUUUUCCACAAGUACCAGAGUUGAAGGAAAAACGACUUUGGUGGUUCCCAACGUGAAAAUGGCGGGGUUUAGUGCAGCAACAAAGAAAAUGGCGGUGGCUGCUGCAAAUGGAUGUGGUGAUUCCCUCUCCCGCAGAAAAGAAGAUAAGUUUUUCUUACAAUAUUCUAAUUAUUCUCCAUGAUGAUGUCUGCCAUCUGCAAUAAAAAAAUAAUAAAAAGAAAAAAGACAGCCACUGAUGAUUGGUGAAGUGACGAGAUAAUCAUCAACUAGCUCAGCUCCACCCUCAGCACAACUGUGACGAAACCCACUUUUCUGAGAAAAUCACGAGAAAAGCAGAAAGCAAAAGAUAAAGCAAAAGGAAGACACAUGGGGACACUGCAAAAGUAAGGAAUAAACAUCCCACCAGAAUGAUGUAAUUUAUUUUUAUUAUCUUUCGGAGACAUCUGUAUAAACCCCAUCAGAGGGUAAUUAAAAAAAAAAAGCCCAAAAUAAUGGGCUGCAAACCCAAAAUAAGGGGCUACAAUGUCAUGGGCGAAGGCCCAUAUGCCCAAAAGACCCAUACCCUCUAUUACCACCAACCAGGUGAUCAAAAGUACGCCCAGUACUCCACAAUUAUUCGACAACCUGCCGCUAUUACCACCAACCAGGUGAUGAAAUGUACAACCCGUACUCUAAAAUCAUUUGGCAACUAGUCAUUCAUGCCACCAACCAGGUGAUGAAAUGUACAACCCGUACUCUCCUUCAUGCCACCAACCAGGUGAUCAAAAGUAUGCCCAGUACUUCAUAUUAUACAUGAACAUUACUCAUGUCAAUCAUACACAAACAUUCAUGAGUAUCACUCAUAUCAAUCAUACAUAUACAUUCAUGAGUAUCACUCAUGUCAACAUUCAUGAGCAUCACUCAUGUCAACAUCCAUGAGCAUCACUCAUAUCAAUCAAACAUUCAUGAGCAUCACUCAUGUCAAACAGCUUCAAAAGCUUCAUUUACAAAAGCUCUAGCUUCAAAAGCUUCAUUUACAGAGCUUCAGCUUCAAAGCUUCACUUAUAAAGCUUCAGUGCAGGGUAUACAAAUACCGCCUCCGAACAACCGCCACUUCGGCCCAUACAUGGAUUCAAUUUGAAGUCUCCAGCUAACAGACUCUAUUGACCGAAAAGACUUGGGGGACUACAUUAUAUACCAUAUAUUGGGCCUCAACUGGGCCUCAUAAAAAAUACUUGGGGGACUUAGCCCAUUAUCUAUGUACUGAGGAGCGAACCCUUAUUCUAUAAAAGGGACUUCCUCACUUUCAUUAGAGAGCAUCGCCGCCAGCUGAGCAACCGCCUCGCCGCGAGCAUCACUCCUAACCCAUCACUUAUGUAUUGAGGAGUGGGCCCUUAUUCUAUAAAAGGGACUCCAUCACCAUCAUUAGAGAGCAUCAACUCUAGCCCAUUAUCUAUGUACUGAGGAGCGAGCCCUUAUUCUAUAAAAGGGACUCCAUCACUUUCAUUAGAGAGCAUCGCAGCCAGCUGAGCAACCGCCUCGCCGCGAGCAUCACUCCUAACCCAUCACUUAUGUAUUGAGGAGCGGGCUCUUAUUCUAUAAAAGAGACUCCCUUACCAUCAUUAGAGAGCAUCAACUCUAGCCCAUCAUUCAUGUAUUGAAGAGCGAGCCCUUAUUCUAUAAAAAUGACUCUCUCACCUUCAACGCCACAAGCCGAGCCAACCAAGGCAACAUAAGCCACGAGCCGAGCAGCCUCGCAGCAUGUGCUACUUCUAGUUGAGCAUCAUCUCAGAUUGAGCACCGCCUCAUAUCGAACAUCAGUUCAAGACAACGUCUAGUUACUUCGGCCCACACAUGGACUGAAUUUCAAGUCUCCAGCCAAAAGACUCUCUUGACUGAAGACUUGGGAGACUACUGUUUAUACCAUAUUUAGGGCCUCGUAUUUAGAUCUUGUACAAAUACUCAGGGGACUUAAAUGUAAUUAUGUGAUAAAAGAAGGGGCAAAUAUGUAAUAAGUGAGGAGUCCUUAUUCUAUAAAAGGACCCCUCACCCUCACAAUUAGAGGAGGCCAAUUCCUAGGCCCUCUCACCCCCUCUCAACGCUCUCACUAUCAGUGCUCCCUCUCCCUCAGAUAAAUACAUAAUCAAAGUGGACGUAGCCCAAACCUUGGGGUGAACCACGAUACAUCUUGUGUCAUUUACAUUACUUGCAGAUUCACGGUCGGAUUUACGUUGUUCCAAAACCUCCGGUUUUGUGCAUCAACAGCCCUUACAUUUAUAUAGAAGAAAAGAGGGAAACAAAAACUUUACAAGAACCUAACAAUUUGCCCAUGCCAUCAGACAUGGAUGUAUUUAUUCACUAAAAAAAAUGCGUUAGUUGUAUUAUUUUACUAGAACCGAACAAUUUGCCCAGUAGACAUGGAUGGUGGAAUAUCUUGAUCAAUAUUAUUCCUCGUUUGCUCUCGUCGUUUCUAAGAAAACAAUGUUUUGUGGUUUUAUUAAAUAGCUGGAGACAAAAUGUUUCGAUCUUGUUCGUUUCUCUGUUUGUAUGCUUUUAUACAUGUUAUUUCUAAACAAUUUGUUUGUUUUAUGGUGGGCAUCUUUAAAAGUAAGAUACCCAUUUGUUUUUAAAGAAAUGUUAUUGUCACCUAAAAAUUUAAGUGUGUAUUUAUAAUUAUUUAUAUUUAAAAAAAAAUAUUCUUACAAUGAAUGUACAAUUAGAUUUUUGUAGUGUAAAUUUUCUGUCUUCAAUUUCGACUACUCGAAAUAUAUGAUCCGAUUGACCCCCAAACAUUGAGGUUUAAAUAUUUAUGGCUGGGGAAGACGAAUUCACCCAAACCUCGAACUCCUUUUCUUAGGAAAUAAAUUGAAAGUUAUAAUCUAAGGCCAAAUUCAAACCGAAACAACAACAUUCUAUUCUAUAAUUUCUCCUAGUCCUGAUCGGUUAGGGAUUCUAGUUAGUUCGUUUACAAACUACGUUGGCUAAUAUAUUUCAGUUACAACUUCAUAUAUAAAUGCAUUCUUCGUCGAAUUAACAAAUAAUCAGUUUGUAUCUAUAUAUAUAAAGUGAGAGCCCUAGUUUGGUGAAGCAUUUGAUAAACCAAAAAUGCCCUCACUUCAUACACUAUACCAACGUUAAUUGUCCAAUAAAAUUAGGGUCAAAAUUGUAAUAUAAUACAACGAAAUUCUACUGUGCGAAUAAUACAUGCACUCAUCUGAACAAUGACAAUUUUCAACCACUAGAUAAAAAUAUACACACUUAAAAUUCAUUGUGACCCUUAGAUCAAUCCUCCCACAAAUACUGCAUCACAUUCUAUCUUUCCACCAAAACCAAAAUAACAAAUAAAUUGAUAAAAACUGACAAACACUCCCUCCAAAUUAGAGUAGAACUGUCAAACACGUUGUCGCACAAAACAGAACACCGGUUGCAGCAGUUGCAAAGAUCGGAGAUAGAACCACCAAUCUACCACACGUUCUAGAGGGGAUAGCGAUCAUUCCAACCCCAAAUGCACAGAAAAGAGGAAGAACUCAUUUUCGUCUUCUGCACAAACCUCUCAUCCACGUGUUUUUCCAGAGUUUCUUCUGCAUCCACACUCAAUUUACACAAAUUCAGGUGAUUUUUUUUUCAUAAUUUCUACCCUCCAAUUAAGUAAUAUUACCCACAUGAAUCUGCUUUUCCGCUUGUUUUGUUUAUUAUUCUAUAUAAUUUAAUAAGGAAAUUCGAAUCAUUGAUGGCGUAGGAUGGGAUUGCUGGGCGUUCAAAAUUGCUCAGUGAUUAGUACUUAAUCGACCACACUGCUUAUAUUAUUUAAACUUAAUUGUUGUCAUAUGGGUUUUUCUGGAUUCCAUUUCUCUUAUUUAUGUGAUUUGAGUCAGUGGUAGUCAGGUGCAUGCAAUGAGAGACAUUUGAGGCUAUAGCUGGGAAUUUGGUUUCUAUAAAAUUACUUCUGCAAUUGGUCAGAAUUUAUAGGAGUUACUAAAAUUACCCCAUUACCAGUUUUUGUUUUACUAUAGUUGGUAAUGAUUUGUAAGCAGAUUGUACAUUGAGGUAAUGUGUGAAUUGAAUUCUGAUGGUUAAACUAAUACGACAAACUGGUAAAAAACCAUCACUGAAAAAAGAUAAAGCAUCACAACUGUAGAGUUUUGCCUAAUGAAGAAUUAGAACCGCGACGUGGGAUUCAACCACCCUCCACGUUCUGCAAACUACAAACCAGAUUGACAAAGACUCUUCCUCUACAGAAAACGAGGGGAGGGAGAAAUAGAGAUACAUAUUGACAAAGACUCUUCCUCUACAUCGACUGAUUCUUAUCGCAGGUAACUUUCAAACUUGAUUCUCAAUUUUCUAUGUAUUCCUUCCAGCGUUUGUUCAAACUUUCAAACUUGACUCUACUCGCCGUGAUCAACAACUGCAGCUUCUUGAAACAGCCUUUCACUCGUCAUAAACGACAAGUGUGGCUUCUUUACCAGUAUGUUUAUUAGUCUCUUUUCUAAUCAAAUUCAUUGCCAUUAAUUAACUGUUUCUCAUCGAUCAUUCAUUUCUGAUCAUAUUUUCAAUUUCCGUUCUAUUCCCAUUUAUACAUCUUUUUCAAUUGUGUAUGAAUUAUUUGCUUUGAUGAAGCAGAAUUAGAUUUGCGUUCAUAUUCAAUUCUAAUUAAUUGACGAUGUCCUUUGAGAGCGAGCCCAAACUAUCUAGCGAUUCGAUAUAAUCGGAGAAAGAUUUUCCAGGGUGAACCAUAUCCUUUACCUGACUAUUGAGCCGUAAAGUUUCCGGUUUCUUAAGGUUUCGGAUAUCCACUCAAUCUAUUGGGACCUGUCUGGAAAUCCCCACAGCCAUGUGACUUGCGAUUCUUCUUCUUAAUAAACGACUUAGUUUUUGCAUUUUUUGUUCGAAUUCAAAGUUUUUUUUAUACAAAUUUGAAGCUUUUCUUCAAGCUUAUUCAUUAUAUAGAUUCCAAAAUUUUUAAAUCCUCUCAAAGUAGUAGGGAUUUGGAAAUGAACUCUGCUAGAGAAGGUGGCUUGCGUUGAAAUUACCAUAAUAACAGUGUUGGGUUGGGAAUUUUUUACUGGUUUUUUAUUUAAUAUGUUUUGAAUCUUAUCUUGCAACCUGUUGUUUUUCUUCAUGGGGUUCAGGAGGAGGAACUUCACCAAGUAUUCAAAGUAAUCAAAGAUUCUUCAAUCCCGAGUUUUACCGAUCAUUCUGUUUGAUCAGGUUGCUACUUCACCCUUUAUGAUAAGUUAUUAGAUGCAUUUCAGUGUGUCCUGCAUUUGAUAACUGAGUUAUUUCGUUAUUGCUAGAAAGGUAAAUUUUACGCUAGAUUGCAAUGCAAGGUAUGUAACUCGAUAGUUUGAUGAGUUUGAAUUAUUUUUUUUAUUAGGGCUGUUGCUACUUAUUUAAUUAUGCUUGGCAAUUAGCCUGCUUGAUCGGGGGUAUGAUCGUUGUGAAUGCCGUAUGAUUGCAAUGGCAAAAUUUUAUUGAUUCAAGUGUGAAAUAGAUAAACAAAUAAGAAAAAACCAUGUUCAUGCGUAAACCAUGUCAUUGUCAUUGAAAAAACUAUAGGUAACCCUCUAAAAAUUAAUAGAUGAAGUCAAUGGAAUUGAGAGCUAUGUAAUCCAAGUCCCAGUUGCAUAUGUUAUUGGUGCAUUCAAGAGCUAGCUAAUUGAGGAAGAAAUUCAGAGGUUGAUGUAAGUUGUCUGCAAAGCAUCAUAACCUAGGGUUGAAGCACUUAGCUUUUCUCUACCCUCUUCCAUAUAAUUAGGAUUACAAGUUGUUUUAGAUAUUCAGUUAAUUUUGAAGCCAUUGGCAAUGUUUCAGUUGCAGAGUUUGAUUUAUCAAUUAUCUGCUAAAUGCAUGGAAUUUCAUCUUUUUUACUUUCAAUUUUGGGUCAAAUGUUGGGAAAUUUUUACUGGUUUUUUUAUAUAAUAUGGUUUAAAUCUUAUCUUGCAGCCUGUAGUUUUUCUUCAUGGGGUUCAGGUGGAGGAACUUCACCAAGUAUUCAAAGUAAUUAAAGAUUCUUCAAUCCCGAGUUUUACCGAUCAUUCAAUUUGAUCAGGUUGCUACUUCAUCCUUUAUGAUAAGUUAUUAGAUGCAUUUUAGUUUGUGAAACUAGGAAGGGCAUUCUUUUUGCUUAGUUGUAAGAUACUUGAGAAGCCGAAUAUUACACUUAAUCAAAGAACCGAAAUGGCAAUGUGCUAUUUCACUUUGUUUCUUUGAUGACUCAAAAUUGUAAUAUGAUUGAACUGAAUGAUUACCUGUUUUCAUCUGCAUCUCCAGAUUCAUUUCUUUCAUUUUUAGAAUCAUCAACUCCAUGAUUACCUGUUUUCUUUCAUAUAUGUUUUUCUUUUACUAAUUUAUGUUUUAACUUUUCGUUCUCUUUCAAUUUUCGUAAAUCUGAGUUUUAGAAAACACAUACAAUUCAUGUUACUAACAAAACUUUUGAUGCUUUUACACACUCAUUGGGAUUGUGUAAUGGUACAAGAUUAUUGUGUCGUGGUAAUUACCAAAAUCUUAUUGAUGCUGAAAUUCUAACUGGACAAUUUGUCGGAUCCAAAGUUUUCUUACCAAGAAUCCCUCUCAAAAGUACUAAUACUGCUGGGCUUCCAUUUAAACUUACAAGAAAGUAGUUUCCAGUGAAACUAAGUUUCUCUAUCACUAUAAACAAAUCUCAAGGUCAGACAAUACCACAUGUAGGCAUUUACCUUCCAGAUCACAUCUUCAGUCAUGAACAAUGAUAUGUGGCUUUAUCGAGGGGGGUCUCAAAGUCAACCACAACCGUGUUAGUAAAAAAUGGCUCCAUAAUCAGCCAACAAGGUGUAUUUACACGGAAUGUAGUAUACAAAGAAGUCUUGCUUCAUUCCAGCUAAUUAUGGUGAUUUCUAAUAGGUAACAAUUUUAUUAUCGAUAACCUUUCAGUAUGCAUUUCUCACUUAUCAAUUAACUCUUUUUAUUUGAUUUUUAAUUUUCUCACUAUCAUUUGUAGAUUGGCAAUGAAAAUUUGAAGCAUCAAUCAUGAACAAAUGGGUGGAAAUUGCAGCAUUGAUAUCAAAAUGAAAACUUUUUUUUCAAAAGAAACGGUGACAUAUAGACUCUAUGGGUAUUGUGAAUAAUGUACAUAUUGUUAUGCAAGAUUUAUAUUUUGACAUUUAAGUUGUUUUGUAUUUUUCUACGAGUAAUGUUUUCAUCUACUCUUUUUUUUACAUCUACUUACUAUUGUCCAUGGACUUUAGGUAGGAACUUGCGUCUAAAAUCCCAUGUUGUUUGACAAGUGCAUGAAUAACAUUUAAAUCAUUACUUUACGCAAAGUAAAAACGAAAAACAUGAUAACUUUUUAGGAUAUGCAUGAUAAAAAAAGAGUUCCUCUUUGCACAAUACAUUUAAAAUAUAUCUUGACAAUUACGAUGGGAAAAACUAACACAAUACACAUUUAGGGGCGCGUAGCACCCGUGAUGUAAAAAUGCCUCUCGCACGCACAUUAGUGGGUGCGGAGAGGCUAGUAAUUAAUUAAGAACAAGAGGACUCGAAACAGAAGCAGCAAAACAUGACCAUGACCAACAACGACAACGUUUUGGAGCCGCCCAUCAAUUUCUCGAUGGUGGAUGAGGGCGUAUUCCGAUCAGGCUUCCCGCAGCCGUCAAACUUCCCAUUCCUCCAAUCCCUUCAACUCCGUUCCAUUAUCUAUCUCUGCCCCGAGCCCUACCCGGAGGAGAGUUUGGAGUUUCUUCGGUCGCAAGGCAUUCGGCUCUUCCAGUUCGGAAUCGAGGGCAAGAAGGAGCGGUCUACGUCUCCGCUGAUUCCAGCAGAGACCAUCUCCGAGGCACUGAAAGUUUUGGUUGAAAUUGAGAAUCAUCCGGUGUUGAUCCACUGCAAACGCGGCAAGCAUCGGACUGGUUGUCUGGUGGGUUGCCUGAGGAAAUUUCAGAAUUGGUGUUUGUCUUCGGCGUUAGAGGAGUACCAGCGGUUUGCCGGCGAAAAAUCUAGGGGGACGGAUUUGAGAUUUAUCGAGACGUUUGACGUAUUGGGCCUCAGGGGGGAUGCCUUCACGGCAUUGUCCGCCAUUAUUAUUAAGUUUAUGCUUCCGGAAAGAGGCGGUUGUUGUACAAACAAGAGUUGCAAACCCAUAAACCCUAGGUGAUGUUUUAGUUUUUACGUGUUGAAAUUUUAUGCCCUUUUAGUUGUACCAUAAUGAAAAUUCAUUCAUUCGCUUAGUGACGGGUCCCACGUAUGGGAGUGAUUUUUUUGUUGUUGUUGAUUUAGCAUAAUCACGAAAUUUAGACAUGCUUAUAAAUUUAGUCCUCAAUUUAGGAGUAGGAAAUUUUUAAGAAUAUAUGGACAUGCAUGUUUACUUAAAAAAUUAGAAUGAAAAAUUAUGAAUGGAGAAAGUCAAAAAUACAAUGAAAGAAAUUCAUAUAAAAUUAACUACCCCUGAUAAAUUUGAUACCUGGAAUGAGAAUAAAAAGUCAUGAAUUGAGAAGUUGGAAAUAAGAUAGAAUAAAUCCGUACGAAAUCAACUACUCCCUGAUAAAUUUGAUUCUUGGCAUGAGAAGUCAUGAAUUGAUACGAAGUCUAAUUCUAAUUCUUUUGACAUAUUUUUUUCUAUUUUUAUUUUAUUUUUUAGUUGUUAAAUUAUCAAUGUAAAGUAGAACUCAAAUACUUUUUGACUCCACAUAACCACAUAAAAAUCAAGAAUUGAAACAGAGUAAUUCUAAUACUAAUUCGUACUCUAUCCUAGUGCAAAAAGUUAGAAUUGUAAAAAUUUAGAGCUGAUCUUGGUGAAAUAUAGAACGUCAUAGGACCAUGAUUCUGGAACUCCUUUCCCUCCUUCGACUGUGGUCGGCCUGGGUCAGAUUUCUUCGUUCAGGGAUUUACCUGUUCUGAAUAGUCUGCCCUUGAUGGGUCAACUCUAGUUAGUUAAUCCAAGCAUAGGAAGAUGAGACAAAAUACACACAAAGUUGUUAGGAUAUCUUUUCUUUUUAUAUUUGAGCGAUAUUCUAGUCUAAUCCAAAUUCAUGGAAGGAGGAUUCAAAUUUGGCUACAAUCGGAUUCACAUAUUAGGAUUGAUUUUAAAUUAAAUCCAGGUUGAUAAAAAUAUUUCAAAAUUUUUAAUGGAAACUUUUUUGUGAAGGUAUUGAAGUUGGGAUUGAAACAGAAGAUAGAGCGUAAUAUAAAGUUACAAUAACAUGUUCUAUUAAAUGAAAGUGACUAAAUAUUGAAAAAAAUGCUACACUGCGUGAUCAACUCCGGCAACGAGCAUUAGCACUGCAUCCACGGUUGUAGGGAUUACUCUGAUUCUGAGCACCCGGCUUGCAGUUGUUGGAGGAAGCACCUCUCUGAGAGCAAGGCACAGUGUUUCUCUGCAGAGCUUCAUAGCUUAUGUUUCGUGAGGUGGCCAAGAUGCGCCUGCUAAUCUCCGAGUCCAUGCCAAAUUCAUCAUCACGAUCAUCCAUACACUCUGCUACAGAACCCUCGCGGCGAGGUCUCACUGGAACCCAGCUCACCCCAUGAUCGCCGCCUGCAUCAACGGAGAUGAUCAGAGCGGCCACGAAGGCCAAGGAAAAGAUAAUCGCUGAGGAAUUGGCCAUAGGUUUUGGUAUGGUCUGUGUUUUUAGCUGCCAACUUGUAUUUUGUUGUACGCCUGUUUAAUUACUGAGGGAGACAGAUGGGGCGGCAAGAGAGAGAAGAGUUGGUGAAUUCUGAUGUAUAUAUUAUUGCACUCUAUUGUGUUAUUUAUAGUAGUAAAAAGUAUAAAAAAGGGAAAGUCCUAAGGGAAAAUCCUUAUCUUUCAGGCAAUCCAUCUUAAAUAACACACAAUCUACAAGAUAUUCUGCAGUCCCAUAAGGAUUUUUUACACAAAAAUUCCUAGUAAGUUUGGACUUUGAUACAUUUAAAUUUGAUUAAAUGGAAAAUUGGAUGCUGAUUUCUUCAAGGAGGUGAUUGUGGAUGCAAAUUUCUUCCUCCUUGAUCUUGGACAAAAUUGGACCUACAAAACAAUUAACACCUUAGGGUCAAGGCCAAGAGCCUCACGUGUCCACGAUGAACGCGGGGGGGGGGGCUUUGGCCGUUUGGCCGAAGAACCUCUGAUGCCAAAGUUAGAAUUUAGAGAGAAAAGUGUUUAGAGAGUAUUGGGAAUUUUGCGUGUUGGACCUAGGUUUUGGUGAAAAUGGGAGCCAAUACAUAGGGCAUAGGGUGUAACUUAUGGUUUAAUGUGUGAUUUAAUGGAUUAAUUAGGCAAUUAAUCGAUUAAUUGGUUAAUCAACACAUUUUUGGCAUAAAUAUUUUGGGGGUUAUGUAAUUUAUACCUUGUGGAAAAUAUAGGAUGAGGAUGGAUGAAAUAACUUUGAAUUUGUUACUUAUUUUGGGCAUGCUUGAUUUGGUUGAAGGAUGAUUGCCCGCUACUCGCGCGUAGGAAUCCCGUUGUACCUCAAGGGUAUUUUUGUCUUCUUUUGUCCAAAAAUCCACGUGUCGCCUUGUGAUUAUUUUUGGCUCCAUAGUGAUUACUUAAAUGACUUGCACUAAUUAGCCUUAGGGCUAGUUUGGUAUUACUGUGCUUUGAAAAAAACUGCUUCUGCUGUGCUGCGAAAAUAAACAACUGUGAAAUAAAGCGGUAGAGUGUUUGGUAAACUUUUUUGUAAAAAUGCUUUUAGCAAAAAAAUCAGUGUUAAAGUGUUUGGUAAAUUUUUAUAUAAAACUGCUGUGAUUAGGUUAAAUGACUAAAAAUGAUAUAAUGUUAAAUUUAAUAUAUAAUUUUUUAUUUUUUAAUCUCUAUAAUUGUUGAGUCAUCCAAACUCUUCCAUUUUCCAAAUCCCAUUUAUAAUUCUAGAGUCAUCCUUUUCGCCUAAUUUUUUUUUUCAUCUGACGUUCAGAUCCGAUACGUUAGCGUUCCGUUGGUUAUCAGACAGGAUCAAACUAAGCGUAGGCUGUUUCCGGAUCAGAUCUAGUCGAAGAGCUCUCCCCUAUCGUACUUAACUUGAAUAAGGCAGUUUCCCACUAGCCGCUUAAAGGAGUACUCAAGGAUUACCCUAUUACCGAUCUCGAACUGGCCUCCUACUGUCCUCGCUAAGAAAGAGUCUGCCCGCUUAAUUCAAUGAAGUAGUUGAUAUUUAUCUAUUAAAGUAAUUUAUCAAUUACGGCAUUCAAGGUCGGAUGAUAACAGUUCUCUUUACCCAAGAAGCUCGGGGAAAGGAAACAGAAGCCAUGCAGACUGAAAUUGACGAACUCCCCACCCACACUAAAAAGCAAAUAAAGACCCAUGUUUAGCGUCCUCCACUCUAAGGACCACAUCAUCCAGAAGUUCAAUCUCAUUUACCUCAAGAUCAUCGACAAGAUCGAUCUUCCAAUUUCUGAGACUGAUAUUUCUACCAUUUUUUCCCCUAGUUAUAUAACUUCCACUACCACUAGUUUCCCAGUUUCAUCUCCCCUACCAUCCAUGGCGUCUGCAAGCUCUCACAAACACCCAUCUCUUCUGUCAUCCAUUACUUUCCCCAUCACUUUCCCACCUUCCUCUUGGAGUUGCAGAAGGAGCUUGCUAUGAAGAUCUGUUGUGUGAAAUUGUGCAUCUUGGAUCGAGCACUUUUUUGACAACUGGGUUUUGGAUUUGUUUCCUGGUCUACAAUGCCACGAUGAGUUGAAAAAUACUCUGAUCAGAUUUCGAUUUCGAAAAUUGAAAUCCGACAAAACAAAAAUAUCAAUGAUGAAGAUUCAAUCUCAACCCAGCGAGAAGGAGAAACGGAGGAGAGUAUUUUUGAGAUUGUGAAAGUUUCAUUAAAAUAUACUGUUCACCCGCCUCCUUGAAAAAAUAAGUUGGUUUUGAGAAAUAACAAAAUGUAGCUUCUGUUUUUUGCCACUUUUCAGCUUUUAAUGAUCUGUGACUUUUAAAAUAAGCAGUGUUACCAAGCACAAAUUGUACUCCAAUUUUUUUUCAUCCCAGCUUUUAAAAUAAUUUAAGCAGUACCAAACCUUACCUUAUUCUAAUUGCAACAAAGAAAGCUGAAAUUGGAAUAAUUCGUGAUUUGUUCAAACCAAGAAUACAAAAGCAACAACCUACUAGAAAAUAUGCUCGUAGAGAUUUACGGGUUGUUUCUGCAAGUAAUUUUGCUAAAAGCGCUUUUAUUAGAACAACAUUGAGAAAUCAAUUUUAUAAUGAUAUGAGCAUGCCAAGAGAUUAAACUAGUUUACAACAUCAAUAUUAUAAUGAUAGUACUCUCAGUUCAUUCUUGCUCAUAGAAUUAAAGAGAGAAACCGAACUAAACAACAAUGCGGACUAGCUUGGUCAACUCUCAGGCCUUUAUUCUUGAAGAUAGCAAAAUUACUCAAAGUUCCAUAUCAUAUGUAUGCAUAAAUCUUGUGCUUGGCACUUAUUCCUUGAGAAGAUGUGCAUCAAUAUCUUUAAUGACAUUGACCAUAAAGCUGAGGUACUUCUGUGGAGGCGGAUCGUUCUCGUUGAGUUUUUCAUAUUCUAAAGUAAUUUUCACAAAACCUCCUUCACUCUUUGGAGUGACCUGGAAAAUGAUCUUGUAGCUUUUGUAAUUGUCCAGCACAUGUGAUCCUUCCAGAGCUGUAAGACUCACCCACUUGUUUACUUCAUCUAUUUCCACCUUUUCCUUGAAUGUCUCGACAUUUCCAUCUACACGUCACAUGGAAAAUUACAAUGAUACAUCUAUUCAUGGAGAGAUUUUUCAAUGCUCAGAACACUGGGUGGUACAACACAUGUUAUUAUACAAACGAAUGAAAAUUAUUUUCAAAUGUCUCUUCACUUAUAUAAUGAAAUAUAAUUUAUAUAUCCAUGUUCUGAGCACACUAAAAAUUCUCUCCUGUCCAUGAUCCGAUUCUUUAUAUAUUCAUCGUCAGGUAAUGCAAACCUAAUGGCGCAUGGAUGGCCUGGUCAAUAUAUUUCAGUUUUAAUUCUAGAAGAAUCUUAUACGUACAUAUACAUAUCACGUUAGCAUGUUUAUUUCAUAGCAGGUUAGUUUGUGUUAUUCAAUAAUAAUAAUAAUAAUAAUAAUAAUGUUACAGUAUUAACUAUAAACGUAACAUUAUUAUUAUACAACUUUUUUUAACAAACAAUAUUAUCUACAUUAAGGGAAAGAGGUGAGCUUAGCCUCACAAUGUUUGAAUGAUGGAAAUAAAUUUGGACUUUUGACAAAAUUUAGAAUUUAUAAAUUAACAUGCACCAAUUCUCUUGUCUAGAUUCAUAAACAUAGAAAUUUAGAAUUUCCGCGUGAAAAAAAGGGAGAAUUUGAGACCUCCAAUUCCCAAGUUUAAAUUUCAUGUAAAUAAGUCACUCAGUACUACGGUCUUGUAGUAUUUCUCUUCACUUGAAAGUGAGAGGUUAUAAGUUCGAAUCUUGUUGAUGACGAAUUUGAUACCAAAUUAGGCUACCCAUUGUGUGGCUUUGCCGAACUCCUUAGUGUAAAAAUAUCGAUGUACUAAAAAAAAUCAUGUAAAUAGGUGUUAUUCCAAAUUUUUAUGAGUGAGAGUUUAAAGAUAACAAAAUCUAUAUUGAAUUUAUAUUAUUCUUUUAAGUUAGUCAAACAAGAAAAUUUACAAAUUCUAGAAAUAAAAUUUCUUAGUAAUUUUAAAUUUUCUCAUCCAAACAGAAUGUUAGAGUCAUGAUGUAACACCCGUCGCUUUUUAUUUAACAAAAUUAAUUAUUAGUUUAACUAGGUUAGGAGGAGAGAGGAGGGUGAUUAAUUUCAUAUUACCUAGGGUGUAUUUCCAGAGCUUGACAGAGCCAGAAGUUUCCCAGUCACCUUCAUGUACUGCAACAUCGUGUAUUUUAUCAGAGGCUGCUUUGGGGACGUCGUGGUGCUGGUUGCUGAUGACUUUGUACAACUUAUCAGCGUUGGCUUUGAUCUCUACCUCAGCCUCCACAGUCAGCUUGCAAGCACCAGCUCCACUCACUGCCAUUUUCUUUUAUUUGUUAUUAGUAAUAUGUGAUUAGUCUGGGGAAAUUGUAGGAGACGUAUACUAACCUACAGGUUUCAACUUCUUAUAUAGAGUCGCAAAGUUGUAAAUUAACAUGUUAUAAACUGAUAGUUAUGGAGGCAGCGUGUGGAUAUGAUCCGAUCACUUAAUUAAAUAGUUAUAUAAUAAUAUUGUGUCUGUGGAUCUUCCAGGCAGAGUUUUAUUAAUUAUUACAUCUAGGGGUGGAAUUUUUUCCCGAAAAUCCCGAACCGUCCCGAUCCCGUCCCGAAAUUUGACUGAAAAAUUCCCGAACCGAAUUUUCCGAAACAUUCGGUACCCGAAACCGAACCCGUCCCGAAAGUUUUGGGUUGGGAUUUGGCCACAGCUUUGAAAGCUUUCGGUAAUCCCGAACCGAACCGAUUAUUAUAUAUAUUUAUUUUUAAUUUUUAAUUAGAAAUUACUUGAACCGUUGGAUUUGUUAAAAUCUAAUCCAACCGUCCAUUAGUUAGGUCAUUUUAUUAGGUUGUGAUCAGAUCUCUCGGACUCACUCACUCUCGGUCUCUCCGCUCCACUCUCGCUCACUCUCUGCGCUCCGCUGUCACUCACUCUCUCCGCUCUCUCUUGCUCACAGUCUCAGUCUCCCUCACACGCACUCUCACAAACAGUCUCGCCGCCCGUGCUCCCGCCGCUCUACUCCUCCGUCGAAUCCACGCUGCUCCUCAUCCUCCACAACUCACGCAAACACAGGAAGGAACCAAUUGAGUCCCAAAAUCCAGGAUAGGGUUUUUAAUUUUCACUGGGGUUUUGUCCUUUCUCUCUCUUUAACUCUUCAGACAGCAUUUCACAGAAACCCAAUUAAACAUAUGAAAAUAUACAAGCAACAACCUGUAAAAUUUAACAUAAAUAAACAAUGGUAAACUACAAUUAACAUAAAAAUUGCUCACAGAGAGAGAGAGAGAGAGUUCUUACAUGAGGUGCUGCAAUUGCUUGAGAGAGUUCUUACAUGUGGCUUUGUAGCUAGUGUGGAUUGUGACCUACUUAUUUGUGUGUUUAGAUACGCAAGCUAAGUAUAGCUGAUUGGUUUCGUAUCUGUUUGAGAUUUUUAUUUUAUUUUAUUUUGCUGUCAUAAUGUGCAGGACAAUCCCAAUUUCGAGGGUGAAACAUGUAGGAUCACUACUAGAAAUUUCCACUUUGCCGACAAAAAUAGUUUGUAGGCAAAAGUCAAAAUUCGUCGGCAAAGAGCCUUUCCCAACGAAAAAUUUUGUCGGCAAUUUUGUCGCUAAAAGCAUGUCGCGCAAGAUCUUUCUCGACAAAUCUUGAUAUUUCGUCGGCUCAUUUUUAAGGCGACAAAUCUCAGCCGUCAAACUGUGCCCAUCACCAAAACAACAUUGCGACAAAAUAUUUUGUCAGCAUAGGUUGUUUCUUCGCGAUGAAAUUAUUUGUCGGCUUAGUGAUCUUGUCGCGACAAAAUAUUUGUCGGCUGAGUAAUCUUGUUGCGACAAAACAUUUUGACGGCUAAGUAAUCUUGUCGUGACAAAAUGGUUUUUCGGCUAUGUAGUCCUAUGACAACAAAUUGGUUUGUCAGCUCAAAUGACUUGUGUAGACAAAAUAAUUAGUUGGUUGAAUCUUUUGUGAACAAAAACAUUUGUCGGCUAAUUAAUUUUGUGCCGACAAAACAUGUCAAGUCCAAUAUUUUCUAAUUUUUAAUAAUAUUUUUAACCAUCACAAACAAGCAAGCUUAAGAGAUCGAGAAGGGGCGUGAAUGAAGAAUUAAUGUAGGAACAACACAAAAUUCAUGUAAUAUAAACUAAUGUAAGGUUCACAAUUCGGUGUAGCUACAAAAUACAAAAAUAUCUAUGUUUUCAUUUCGAGAUUACUAUAAUAUAGAUAAAAUAUCCUUAAGUAUCACCAUUCUCACUAUAGUCCUCAUCAAGUUGAUAUGCAGCAUCAUGAAAUCGGGAAACGAUAAGGAUCAUCAUGAAACACUCCAGUAUCAAACAACUGUAGAAGAAAAACAAAUUAAAAAACUUGAUUAGCAAACGUUAAGGGUGCUAAAUAUCAUUGACAUUAAGGAACGCAAGGCCACACUAGUGGUAUUUCUAAACAAAUAACUUAUGAAACCAUAAAUGUGUAAACAACAAGAUAAAGAUAUCUACUAAUCAAGUUAACUUACCAACGCCAUGCAGCAUCACAACCUAGCAAAAUUACAUGUUUAAUAGAUACCAGGUAAUAACCAAGUUAACAUCAACUACUUAUAUGUCAUUCAUCAUUGUAAACAACAAGAUAAACAUUAUAAACAGCAAGGCAACAUGAUUAUCACUCUGUAAACAAGGCAGCAUGAUAAGUAGAUCAUAUAAAUCCUUGAAAGGUAUAUAAUUUAUAUAAACAUAACAAUACCAAUCACCUAUCUAAGUAGGUUAUAACUCUAGAACAUAAGCAUAUGCACCUGGAAACAUAAAUAAACUAUACUAAAGCAUCCUAAUUCAUCAUUGUUUAUAAUCUUUAUCAGUGUAAACAAGAAGAUAUAGACAUCUACUAAUCAAGUUAAUCCUCAAAUAUCAAAAUUACCUGGUGUGAAUGAUCCUCACAUUGGUCUCCAUGCCGUGCUGAUACCAGUUGUAAGCUAUCUAGCCCAGAAUUCCACUGAGCCAUAGACAACCUGCAAGUGUUAUAGAAAGGAAAAACAAAUAUGUCAAACCUAGACCACAAUAUCGAAAAAUUACAGUGGAAAUCUGGAAUUAAAGUCAAAGGACAUUGUUUUCACCAAUAUUAUACAAAUGGAUUGCCAAAUCAACCAAAAAUUGGAAACCUAGAUCAUAAAACUCGAACCCAAAUGAAAUAGUUCAAUUAAGAACAUGUUUUUCAUCCAUAUAUGCGAUUCAAUCAAAGCAAAUACAAUUAUUUCAUUUUCCAAUAAAAACAUGGAAAACGAAUACAAAAACAAACAAACAAGUUAGCAAAUUAAUGUGGUAAGGAAAAUGCAUAUACAAAAUCAUGAUAAAACCUGCAAUCAUGAUAAAAAAAUAUAAUAUUACAAAGAUAGAAAAAAAUUCCAGCCUUGAAUAUUUAUAACACAAAGAGAAUGAAAACUUCAUUUUAUAUCCAAUUCUACUCUCUCACUGACUGAUUAAUUAUGUGUGUUCCCCAUUUCCCAUAUACCAUUCCAUUCCAUUAGUUUUAAUAGGAAAGAUCAUCCAAAUCAUCUAAAACAAUGAAAACUUCAUUUUAUAUCCAUGAACAAAAGCUCCAAACUCUGAAAAACAAAACCAAUUUUAAUUCAUUCCAGAGCAACUGAAUAAAACAGAACUAAACACAACUGAGAAGAAAAACUGUUUAAGCCAAUCACACAGACUAUAUUAAAUCUUUACAAACCAACCGAAUGAUGCAGAAAUGCUUAAUAACAAAAUAGUUAAGCAACAAAUCAUGUAAAAUAAUCAUAAGUCAACUCAACAAAACCAAACAAAACACCGACACCACUGAAUAAACCCUGCCCAUUGGAAAAAAAUAAUACCUAACAAAGAACCCAACCACUGCAAGUGUAAAUUCAAAAGACAUAAGCGUUCAAACACUGCAAAAAUAAGUGGAAGAAAAACACAAAGUCACCAAAGACAAAAGCUUCCUAAAACGAAAAAUCAAACCAGAUGGAACAACCAUAGACAAAUGAUCACAAAAUAGAAGAAAACAUUUGAAAGAAAGAGCUAACAGACCUUUAUUCGAAAGGGCUUGCAACGCUGUUCACAAAACCCCCAAACUCUGGAGACCAAUAUUUUCUGCAACACAAAAGCCAAUCAGAUUAGGGAACCACACCGAAAUCACUAAAAAAAUAACCAAACAAUGAAUGAAAAACGCUAAAAGUUCAAUUUCACACCGAUCAAGCAAUAAUGUAUAGGAAAACCCUAAACCCGAAAGACCCAAAUUUCCCAAAACGAAAAAUCGAAUUAGAUCGAACAGCCACACCAAAAUAAGCAGAAAAAAAGAAGAAAACAUUCGAAACAAAAAACUUACAGACCUUAAUCACAUAUGCUCUGCAAGACUAUUCCCAAAAACCCUAAAAUUCACACACCAACUUUUGCUGAAACCAAAAACCCAAUCGGAUUAAACAAACACGCUAAAAACAAAGAAAAAAUUAGGAAACAACCAAUAUAACACAAACACUCUAAUUUUACAGGCAUCAAUCUGCAAAUUUUCUUCCCAAUCAAAGAAAACACACACACACACACACAAAAAAAAAAAAAAAAAAGAGAAACGACCUCAAACAGCGCAAUGAAUCAGAAAAAGAAACUCUUCAGACAACAGAGGAUCGAUGCAGAGAGAUAAGCAGAGACACGAAAGAUCAAGGCAGGCGGAAGAACACAUAAACAAAGAGGAAGAAAAAAGGGAAAGCUACGGAAGAAAAUAAGCGAUCCCUCGCUUCCGCACCAAAAACGACGGAGACCACGUGGUAGAUGCAGCAAUUGAAAUUAAACAGACCAAGCAGGGGCAAUUGCGUCACAACACUGUUACUUUCACUGUUCAUCAACAGUGUUCCACCCGUUUGGGUUUUAGUAUAUAUAGAAUUUAUACUUUCAUUAAGUAUAACAUAAGAAUCUGUGGUAUCCACAAGUGUAAAUAUUUUAAAUUGAAGAUCGAGCUCAUUCAUUGUAUUCAUAUAGGAUCAAGGAGUGUAGCUGUACAAAAUCAUCAAAAUCGAAGUUAAAAUAACCGUUAAAUCAUGAUUUUUCGUUUAUAACCGUCAGAACGUUUUGUCUCCUUACAUGAUCUCUGAAGGUUUUUUUUUUGCAAUUUUUGGCGUAUACGAUCUCGAAACAUAUAUAAACAAGUUUGACGGUUGGAUCGUUGAAACUAGUUUCGUAUAAUGCGUAUCCUAUGAAAAUGAUAGAUUCACUAACACUUAGAGUUUAUUUAUACUUUCAUUAAGUAUAACAUAAGAAUUUGUGGUAUCCACAAGUGUAAAUAUUUUAAAUUGAAGAUCGAGCUCAUUCAUUGUAUUGAUAUAGGAUCAAGGAGUGUAGCUGUAAAAAAUCAUCAAAAUUGGAGUUAAAAUAACCGUUAAAUCGUGAUUUUUCGUUUAUAGCCAUCAAAAAAUUUUGUCUCCUUACAUGAUCUCUGAAUGUUUGUUUUUUGCAAUUUUUGGCGUAUGCGAUCUCGAAACAUAUAUAAACAAGUUUGACGGUUGGAUCGUUGAAAUUAGUUUCGUAGAAUGUGUAUCCCAUGAAAAUGAUAGAUUCACUAACACUUAGAGUUUAUUUAUACUUUCAUUAAGUAUAACAUAAGAAUUUGUGGUAUCCACAAGUGUAAAUAUUUUAAAUUGAAGAUCGAGCUCAUUCAUUGUAUUCAUAUAGGAUCAAGGAGUGUAGUUGUAAAAAAUCAUCAAAAUUGGAGUUAAAAUAACCAUUAAAUCGUGAUUUUUCGUUUAUAGCCGUCAAAAAGUUUUGUCUCCUUACAUGAUCUCUGAAUGUUUGUUUUUUGCAAUUUUUGGCAUAUGCGAUCUCGAAACAUAUAUAAACAAGUUUGACGGUUAGAUCGUUGAAAUUAGUUUCGUAGAAUGUGUAUCCCAUGAAAAUGAUAGAUUCACUAACACUUAGAGUUUAUUUAUACUUUCAUUAAGUAUAACAUAAGAAUUUGUGGUAUCCACAAGUGUAAAUAUUUUAAAUUGAAGAUCGAGCUCAUUCAUUGUAUUCAUAUAGGAUCAAGGAGUGUAGCUGUAAAAAAUCAUCAAAAUUGGAGUUAAAAUAACCGUUAAAUCGUGAUUUUUCGUUUAUAGCCGUCAAAAGGUUUUGUCUCCUUACAUGAUCUCUGAAUAUUUGUUUUUUGUAAUUUUUGGUGUAUGCGAUCUCGAAACAUAUAUAAACAAGUUUGACGGUUGGAUUGUUGAAAUUAGUUUCGUAGAAUGUGUAUCCCAUGAAAAUGAUAAAUUCACUAACACUUAGUUUAUUUAUACUUUCAUUAAGUAUAACAUAAGAAUUUGUGGUAUCCACAAGUGUAAAUAUUUUAAAUUGAAGAUCGAGCUCAUUCAUUGUAAAUAUUUUAAACUGAAGCCCUUUUGUGACGCCAGCAUUAGUGUCGCUAUUCCAAUCCGACAUUACAUUGUUUUAUGUCAGAUUUUUUUCUAAAUUUCCGAUAGAAAUUGGGUUUCUUGUCGGUUUUUGCUUCGCCACUGAUAAGGUAUAUUGCAGUAGUGGGUGUUGGUACCAAGUAACAGAUUCAUGAUAAAUCGUUCAUUUAUUUGAUUCACAUACAUUAUCUCUGAGCGGGAAGAUCCCCGCCAAAAUAUUACAUGAUAUUUUAAAUGAUUUUUCGUUAGUUUUCAUUUUUUAUUAAAGUGUAACAAGGUAUGUUUAUAUCUUUCGCCAAAAAAGUAACCAAAAAUUGUUAGAGAAGGGAGACAGAUAAUAGGGGCGUGGAUGAUAAUCAGUUAAGAGUGCAAGAAUCGUAAACCUAGGGAUAGAAAUCGUCAAAAUUGUUUCUGAGCGGGAAAGACCCCGCCAAAUUGUUAGAAGAUAAAUAAGAAUUCUUAUCAAACUGAAAUCGGAUGGCGUGAGCGAAGAAUGUGGGAGGGAAGUCAUGAGCAAUUGGGAUUAGCAUGCAAUUGGGAGGGAGAUCAUGAGGCGACAAAAUAGGAAUAGCAUGCAAUGGGAGGGAGAUCAGGCAAUUGGGGGAUGUGAACCGACAAUUGAGGGAUGUGAACUGACAAUUGGAAUAAUAGAAAUAUUAUGGGAGGGAGAUCAUGAGGCGGCAAAAUAGGAUUAGACAAAAUAUGGGAGGGAGAUCAUGCAAUUGGCAGAUGUGAACCGACAAAUUAGGUUUGGAUUGCCACGGGAAAUUUAUAAGUUUGUUCUUAUAAUCAUAUGUUAUGUUUUUAGAAAACUUGGCAUGCUUGUCGAAUUAGAAUGGAUGAUUACAUACAACUGUAUUCAAAUUUACAAUUGUAAUUGCUAAUAAUUGAUCAUAGCCUAAACCAAGUUAUAUGUUGCUAGAAAGUAGUUUGGAGUUAGAAUUGAUAGGAAGAACUUUUUCAAACACUCACAUAUUAUGAAAUCAAAUUGUCAAUAUAGAUUAUUGAUGGCAUAAAACUACAAUCCAGAAAUAUGAAAUGCUAGAUAUCUCUUUAUCUAUGCUCCCGUUCAUAUAGAGAAACAAGAGAGAAUGACAGCAUAAAUAGUUGCCAAGAGCUUUGAUUGUGUUCCCCGGAAAAAAAUGGAUAGGUGCACUGGUGAAAACCUCUCACGUAGAGUUAUUAAUACCUUACCAAUGACAUACUUUAUUGCCUCUCUAAUCAAUUUGCCGAUGAAAUACUUUGUUGCCUCACAUCAUCGGCUAAUAUUUCAAUAUAGUGGGAAAAGUUCCCGCCAAAGUUUACCCGUCAAAACAAAAUUUGUCAGGGUAUCGAAUUUACGCCUACAAAAUGAUCGUCGGCUAACGUUUCAAUUUUCUCGGCUAAGAUUGGCAUUGUAAAUUGGUUCUAGUGUGAGUAUUCAGCCGACAAAUUAAAAAUUUCGUCGAGAAAGGACUCUUGUGCCGACAAAAUUUUGCUUUGUCGGUUUAAUUUGUCGGCAAAAUUAUAAUUUCUAGUAGUGGAUAUGCAUGAAUGCAAUAAUCGACAGGGGUGUUCUCGAUUGCUGCCAGCAUUGGUAUGUGCUUUAGUGUGGUUUUGUGUGUGUGAGAGAGAGAGAGAGAGAGAGGAAUUUUAUUUUAUGACAUGGGUUCAUCUUGGGGUUUUCAGGUUCUGUUUCUCAUGCAUUGACAAUUGGGCUACCAUUACAAACCUCUGCCCGCUUUGCCAGAAUGAAUUUCAAAUGAUCACAUGUGUUUCGGAGAGUGAUGCAAAUAAACAGUUAUCGCUUUAGUAUUAUUUCUGUUAUGAUUGCUAUGGAUUAUAGAAUGGUAUUAAUGUACAACCAGUUUAAAGCACAGUUGUUACUUUGAUUUCUUAACUAUCUGUUUUCAAUAGUUUUCUUUUUGUUGCAAACAGAAUUUUUAUUUUGAAGUUUUCUCAAAAUAACGAUUUGAUGCUGGUUUGAAGUGGCACUAAAUCAUAAGAGUUUGAUUUGUAUGUGAAGGUAUACGAUACUAUUGGGAGCAUCAAAGCGGACGAGGACUCAACUUAUAGGUACUUUCAUAAUUAUGGAUAAUGUGUUUAAGUCUAUUGGUGAGGGUUCUUUGUUCACAUUUAUGCGGCACAUGUUCCCAAUUUGGAAGCUUGGUUUGUAAAACUUAACUUAUUUCAUUUUGGUUGCAUGCACUUUUAAUUAAAUAGUUUGGUAGACAAAUACAAUUGUGAACUUAAGCUUAACUUGUUAGUUGCUUCCUUUGUAUGAAAAUUGAAACAUGUGGUAUUGUGAUAUUCAUAUUGUGGUGAAAUUGAAACAGGUGGGCUGGGCAGUGGCUGUGUAACCUUAAUUUUUUUUUUUUUUGGGGGCAGUGGCUGGCUGCAAUCUUAAAAGCCCAACAUUUUGGGCUUCAAGGCCCAAUCCCGAAGUAUCCCGAAAAUCCCGAAACACUUUCGGGAAUCCCGAAUUUCGGGAAAUGCACAUAUUCGGUUCGGUUUCGGGAUAUAAAAGCCCAUCCUGAAAUGUUUUGGUUUGGGAUUCGGGAAAGGAGUUUCGGUUCGGGAUCCCGACCCGAACCACCCCUAAUUACACCUACCAAACUUAAGAGCACGCGCAAACUUGAUGAGACAUAUAUCAACACGUGAGAACAAUGAUUGAUCAACAUUACCUCCAUAGUAUUAUUAGAGUGAAUGAUUGUAUGAUAUUAAUUUACUAGAGUGAAUGAUUGUAUGAUAUUAAUUAUGCGUUAAGAUCUUGGGAAUUUUAAUGAAAAAUUACUGGUAUUAUUCAUUUUAAUAAAAAAUUACAUUUUUACAUUAAAAAGUCAAUCUUAGUACUAUUCACUUUAUUCUUUAUUUUGUCCUUAUUGUUAAAACUCAAAGUUUUCAAGUCAUUUUCAUUAAUUUUCCUUAAGAUCUUUUGAUUUGGCAUGCGGAAGUGUGUGUGUUUGUAUAUUAUAUAGGGAUAAUACUAAGUUAGGUUCAUAUUAUCUUAACUAGUGAUAAAUUAAGGGUUCUUUCGAGUUAUUCGAAACAGUGGUUUAUAUUAUCUUGACUUACGUGCAACCUAAACACAAAAAAGAGAGGCUGUACUGGCUUCCAAAAUAAAACUAGAUGCAAACAAUAAUGUGGAGUUCCGGUUACUCUUUUGGAAUCAACCAAAGCUGAAUCAUUGAUGCCUAAUUUCAGAAAGUUUUCCUUUUCUGCAUGCAGAUCUUUUCAAUGGAUGUAGCUCAGUUUUGGGAGGUAACCACUUACUUCAUCGAGUUCAUUAAUUUUAAUCAAUCUAAAGUAAUUUAACUAAGUUUAUUAACCUUACAAUGUUGAGCGUUAAUACCCAAUUUUGGAGGAAUUGCAUCACGUUUAUGUAAAGGUAAUCGAAAUAAUAGAGCGGAAUUAAAUUCCAAUUACGGAAUACUCCAGUAUUUACCAAAUAUUGGAGAAUAAAAAAUUUGAUAGCACCCACUCAAUUUUUUAAUCCAAUACUAAUUCAUAUUCAAAUUUUGGAAUAAAAAAUCUAAUACUAAUUCGUACUCAUCAAAUGAAAGUAAAAUCUAAUUCUUCAUUUUUUAAGUAAUUAUUGUAAUGUGAGUAAACGCAUGAAAAUCAUGAUUUAGAAUAUUUUCUAAUGCAGACUCUAAGUCUGAAAUUGAAAUAUAAAGAUAGCCGUUGACGGGUCGAUUCUGGUUAAUCUAGGCAUGAGAAUACGAAAAAAAUACACACAAAGUUAUUAAGAUAGCUUUCCUUUUUUAUAUUUUAGCGAUAGUCUAGUCUAAUCCAACAUUAGACCACAUUCAGUGAUUCAAACUAAGAGAAGGGGGAUUCAAACUUGGCUACACUCGGAUUCUCAUAUGAGGAUUGAUUCUGAAGUAAAAGAAUAUAACCAAGUUGAUCAAGAAAUUUCAAAAUUUCUAAUGGAAACUUAUUAGAAAUUUUUUGUGAAGGUGUUGAAGUUGGGAUUUUUUUGUUUGUUUUCGUAUUGAAGUUGGGAUUGAAACAGAAGAUAAAGCAUAAUAUAAAGUUUCAUUACAAUUAACAACAUGUUCUAUUAAAUGAAAGUGACUAAAUAUUGAAAAACAUGCUACGCCGCGUUGAUCAACUCCGGCAACGAGCAUUGGCACUGCAUCCGUGGUUGUAGGGGUUGCUCUGAUUCUGAGCACCCGGCUUGCAGUUGUUGGAGGAAGCACCUCUCUGAGAGCAAGGAACAGUGUUUCUCUGCAGCGCUUCAUAGCUUAUGUUUCGUGAGGUGGCCAAGAUGCGUCUGCUAAUCUCCGAGUCCAUGCCAAACUCAUCAUCACGAUCAUCCAUGCACUCUGCUACAGAACCCUCGCAGCGAGGUCUCACUGGAACCCAGCUCACCCCAUGAUCGCCGCCUGCAUCAACGGAGAUGACCAGAGCGGCCACGAAAAUCAACGAAAAGAUAAUCGCAGAGGAAUUAGCCAUAGGUUUUGGUACGGUCUGUGUUUUUAGCUGCCAACUUGUAUUUUGUUGUACGCCUGUUAAUUACAGAGGGAGAGAGAGGGGGCGGCAAGAAAGAGAGAGAUAAUCGGUGAAAUUUUGAUGUGUAUAUUAUUUCACCCUAUUGUGCUAUUUAUAGUAGUAAAAAGGGAAAAUUUUUGUCUUUCAAGUAAUUCAUAGGAGUUAGGGAAAAUCCUUGUCUUUCAAGUAAUCCAUCUAAAAUAGGACACUACGUAAAAGAUAUUAUACAAUUCCAUAAGGAUUUACACAAUCACAUUCCUAAUUAAAUUAAGACUCUGACAUUUUUAAGUUUGGUUAAAUAAAAAUUGGAUGUUGAUUUCUUCAAGGAGAUAAUUACUUAAUUGACAUGCUUUAAUUCAACCUUAUUCCAAUUGCAACAAAGAAAGCUGAAAUUGGAAUAAUUCGUGAUUUAUUCAAAACCUACCAAGAAAACAAAAUCAACAACUACUACAAAAUAUGCUCGUAGAGAUUUCCGGGAUGUUUCUGCUCUUAAGUGUUUUUGCUAAAAGCUCUUUUAUCAGCACAAGGUUGAGACUUUAAUUAAAAAACUAAGUUUUUCUCGAAAAAAUAUAAGCAUGCCAAUAGAUUGAACUUGUUUACAACAUCAGCAUUAUAAUAAUAUUGUUGGAAAAUAUUAGGUUUACUUUAAUGUUUGGUUUUCUGGGCUUAGCCCGUUAGUAUUAGGGUUUCGUUUUCUUGCUUAUUAGGGUUAUGUUAGUUCUCUAUAUAUAUGGUGUUUUGUAGCUUGUAUGAUUAACAAGUUAGUCACAAUGUAGUCUCUAGGGUUUUUGUAGCCGUCUCGGCAUUCUAUGUUUGAUAUCAAUAAUAUUUCUAGUUUUGUAAUCCGUUUGUUUGUUCAUUGUGGUAUGUGCACUCUGAUAUUCAACUUGGUAUCAGAGCGGGUUUGAUUCCUCGGAAUUUAAUCUGUUUUGGAUGGAUAUCAAUUUGUUCAUCUGUUUGUCCACUGCGUAUCAGUUCGUCAUGGUAUGUUUUGUUGGUUUGUCUGUCUAGUAGUAGUUAGGGUUUUGUUAUAUGUUUAAAAAAAAAAAAAAAUUGAAUCAGUUUGCUGCGUCAUGUCAUCGUCCUCUGCUAAACUUGGAAUCGCCGCCACGAACCCCACAUCACCAGCGUGCUCCUACCAUCAGGACAUCACCGCGCCAACCCGCCAUGCCUGCACCCAGUGCCACCAUGUCCCGCCUACAACCCCGUUGUCUUACCACCACCUGCUGUAAACCCACAUCGCUCGCCUGCUUGCGCGCCGUGCAGACGGGAUUUGAUAAAGCCACACCAACUUGCUGCAAAUACAUGCAGUUGAUCCGUACCCAUGAGCCUGCUUGAAUCUCCGCACCCGACCCGCUUGUCGCCUGCACCCACUGCUUGCUUGCCGUUCCCAUUGUUCGUUGACCAGAACUCGCGCUUGGUUUACGCGUUCUGGAGAAAACCAUUGGAAAAAAGGAAGCAGAAUAAAAAGUAAGAAAAAGAAAAAAAAAGUGAUGUUUGAGGAAAAGGAAAAAAGAAAAAAAAGAAAAAGAAAUGCAAAAGUAUUAGAAGUUGGGCUUGCCGUUGGUCUUGUUGAUUGUUUUGGAGAAUGACUAUGGUCGUCUGCUAUUGUACCCACAACGAUUGUUCGAGUGCUUGGAUUGUUGAUUACUCGAGUGAUUAUUGUUGAGGUUUUCGUCUGCUUGUUUGUUGCCGUUGGGCUAUUGGAAUCUCGUCCGUUUAGUGACAAGGUCCAUGCUCAAACGAAAUAUGUCUGCCCUCUGCCAUGUGAAUCUAUAUCCACCUGCCUGUCUGUCUGUCCGCGUUGCGGAGCCUGCCUGCCUGUCUGUCUGUCCGCGUUGCGGAGCCUGCCUGUCUGUCCGCGUUGCGGAGCCUGUCUGCCUGUCUGCCUGUCUGUCUGUCCCCCUAACGGAGCCAGUCCACAUCUGCUUGUUUGCAAACCCAUGUCGUAUACCGCCAUGAGUUUGACUGGGGGUGUUGGAAAAUAUUAGGCACACUCAAUUCAUUCUUGCUCAUAGAAUUAAAGACAAACCAAAUCGGAAACCGAAAUAAGCAACAGUGCUAACUAGCUUGCUCAGCUCUCAGGCCUUUAUUCUUGAAGAUAGUUAUAUUACUCAAUGUUCCAUAUCGUAUGUAUGCAUAAAUCUUGUGCUUGGCGCUUAUUCCUUGAUAAGAUGUGCAUCAACAUCUUUAAUGACAUUGAAUAGAAAGCUGAGGUACUUCUGUGGAGGCGGAUCGUUCUCGUUGAGUUUUUUAUAUUCUAAAGUAAUUUUCACAGAACCUCCUUCACUAUUUGGAGUGACCUGGAAAAUGAUCUUGUAGCUUUUGUAAUUGUCCAGCACAUGUGAUCCUUCCAAACCUGUAAGACUCACCCGCUUGUUUGCUUCAUCUAUUUCCACCUUUUCCUUGUAAGUCUCGACAUUUCCAUCUACACGUCACAUGGAAGAGUACAAUUAUACAGCUAUCCAUGAUCCGAUCCUUUAAAUAUUCAUCGUGUGGUAAUGUAAACCCUAUGGUGCAUGGAGGUCUUGUCAGUUUUAAUUCUAAAAGUACAUACAUAUGAGGUAACGCAAACCCCUAGCUUGCUAGGUUUCAAGUUAGCAUGCCUAAUUAUUUUGCAGCAGGUUAGUCUGUGGUAUUAAAAAAAAAUUGUUAGUCAUAAGUAUAACCUUAACAAUGUUUGGUUGUAAUUUGCUUGCUCCUUCAUGCAAUCUCACAGUCUCACUACCAGCUCCACAAGUUUGCGGAGUAAGCUGCUUCAUUCACCCCAAAAGGGGUUCAUUUCACUAUCUUUUACACAGCGGAGGCUGUAUAAAGCUACGACAGAACAAAAUUCGGCACCCGGGAGAGGGACGAUCUCCAGAGAUUCUUUUACAUUUUUUGUAUUUCUUUUUUUGUUGAAUCAUUUCUUGUAAUUUAAACAUUUAGCGUCAUCUUGUAAUUUAAAUAUUACCUAUGGUGUAUUUCCAGAGUUUGACAGAGCCAGAAGUUUCCCAGUCACCUUCAUGUACUGCAACAUCGUGUAUUUUAUCAGAGGCUGCUAUGGGGAAGUCAUAGUGCUGGUUGCUGAUGAAUUUGUACAGCUUAUCAGCGUUGGCUUUGAUCUCUACCUCAGCCUCCAUAGUCUCCAGCUUGCAAGUACCAGCUCCACUCACAGCCAUUUUAUUUUAUUUGUUCUUUAUAAUAUGUGAAUAACGAUAGUGUAAGUCUGGGGAAUUGUAGGAGACGUAUACAAACCUAUAGGUUUCCACUUCUUAUAUAAAGCCAUGUUAUAGUUACGGAGGCAGUAUGUGGAUAUUAUCCGAUCACUUAAACAGUUAAAUGAUAACAAUGUGACAGUGGAUCUUUCACGUAAAAUUUUAUCACCACUACACCUACCAGAAUAAAACUUUUUUCUUUUUUCUUUUUUCUUUUUUUUUUAAUUAAAAGAAGAAAUGUCAAUUUCAUUCCGCAUUAUUAUCAUGGAACAAGACAUUAUUUUGAAUACAUUGAAGAAGAAAAAAAUAUAUAGAUAAUAAGUUAGAGGGGACAUGAAGCCUAGCCCUAACAAGAAGUAGAAAACUAUUUGAAACAACAAUCAAUUAAGACAACUCCUAAGAGAAACAAGAAUUUGGAAACACCGAAAGAUUAUGAGCAAAAGUCAUAACUGCACAUGACGGAUAAGAAUCACACAAAUAAUGAAAACUAACAUGAUCAACAUAAUAGUUUGCUAAACAAUUUGUUACAUGAUUUCCUUCCCGAUUAACGUGAGAAAACUGAACAUGCAUGGAAGAGAGAAUGGUAUAGUAAUUUGUCAAAUCAACCGAUAAACUAUGGUGCAUUGCCAAACAAGAAUUACACUCAUUUCAAAGAGAAUGCUGCCAAAACCUUUCGAAAGCAAUAAAAAUAACAUGAAUAAUAGCUUUAAGUUUCACUUCCAAAGCAGUAACAAUGCCAAAAAAAUCUUGUAUUAAAGCAUCAAAGAGACCCAAGUGAUCACGAAAAAUACCACAAAAACCAGCAAACUUGAUGAUAGAUUUCAACACGUAUAUGUACAAGAGGAUCAAUGAUUGAUCAACUUUACCUCCAUAGCAUUAUUGGAGUGAAUGAUUGUACGAUAUUGAGGCGUUUGUUUGGAUUUGGCACGAGGAAAUGUGUGUAUAUAUUGUAUAUAUAGUGAUAAAAUUAAGGGUUCUUUAGAGCUAAUAGAAAUCAAUGGUUUAUAUUAUCUUGACAUACUUGUAACCUAGAGAGAGAGAAAAAAAAGAGGUUGUAUUGUCAUCAAAAUAAAAUUAUGACACAAACAAAUAAUGUGGAGUUCAUGUUACUUAUUUGGAAUCAAUCAAAGCUGAAUCAUUGAUGCCUAAUUUCAGAAAGUUUUUCUUUUCUGGAUGCAGCAUCUUUUCACAGGAUUUUUUUCGGUUGUGGUAUUGUGAAGGAACUUCUUGGAUAGUUUUUUUUCCCUUUUACACUAGCUUAGGGCUGGUUUGGUAUUGCUGUGCUUUGAAAAAAAGCUGCUGUGAGAAUAAGCGGCUGUGCUGUGAGAAUAAGCGGCUGUGAAAUAAAUCAGCUGAGUGUUUGGUAAACUUUUUUGUAAAAGUGCUUUUGGAAAAAAAAGCAGUCUGAUAGUGGAUCUUUUCAUUAAAGAAGCACUGUACCUCCGUGUGCUUUGAAAAAAAACCAGUUUUCCAAAGCUACAAAUAGCAGCUUCAGCUUUUUCUUUUGAUUUCAGCUUAUUCUCACAGCAGCUUCUAAAAUAAGCCUUUUUUUUCAGUUUACCAAACACCUAAAACCCUCACAGCUUUUUUUCAUGGGUGCUUUUUUUUUAAGCACCUCACUCCCAAACUAGGUCUUAGUGUCUUCCUGCCAAAAUAAUGACACAGAAAUUUUCAUCAAAAGGGUUGGCGAUGUCGGGCAGCAAAUGUAGUUUCCCGUGAAAUUGCAAAAUUUGCUCACAAUCUGAUGAUUUCGUCUCUUGGGUUGGCUCUCCCUUCUCCUAACUGCUGAAGACUGAUGAAGCAGAAAUUUAAUCAUCAAUGAAUUUCCUUGACUAAUCCAUUAUCUUUCCGUUGCCCGUUCACUUUGAUUUGUUCAUAAUCCGAUUAUUGUUCAUUCCAAUUCCAAGCGCGUAAACGUGCCCUCAUAGUUAUGGACUUGUCCGCAUCGUUUAAUUUUCCUUGAAUACCUGACUUCGUCGCCUAUGGUUUCACAAGAAAAUAAUCUCUUUGUUAAACCAGAAAAUUUAACGGUUCAUUAAUUAGCAACUAUUUCAUUUUUUAACAAUAUUUGGCUACUCAAAGGAUGAGUAAGAGUUCCUACUCAAACCUAUUUGUUGCCAAUUCAUAGAACUUCAUGUUUAUAAUAGAGCAGUUCAUAUUAGAAAUCACUUUAUAAAAAUUGUCUCUACAAAAAAUCAAUUAGACUAAGGUCGUUUAGUAGUUGAACUGUGAAAAAACAAAGGAAAGAAAUUGGUGAAAAAAUUAAAAACCAUUUAUGUAUUUACUAGAAUAAAUUGACUAAAUGACCUUAAUUUUAAUUCAAUUUUUGCAGAAAUGAUCUCCACAGUGUGAUUCAUAAUAUGAACAGUUCUGUUCAUAAGCACAAACUUCAGUGAUUCGAACAUGAAAAAUUUUGAGUGGGAGUUCUUACUCAUUUUUGAGUAGCCAAGCAUUGUUCUUCAUUUUUUUUUUUUGUGUCAGUAAUAAUCUGACAGAGAACAAUAAUAAGUAAACUGUGAAAAGAAAAAUAUUGUACAAACGAAAAAACAAACAAAAUGAAAAAGAAAACAAAUUAAUAUUUUAAGUUGUUUUCACUUUGAAAAUUUUGUUUUAUUCAUUCCCACUUUAUCUAAUUCUUAGCCUUCAUGUAUUGAAUUAUGCAUUGUAUUGUAGAAUCCAAAAAAAAAAAAAAAAACUUUUUUGGAUUCCAUGUGUAUAAGCAUGAAAUUAUAGCCCACCCAUAUGAAAAUUUUGACUCCGCGGUUGCAUGUAAGGAUAAACAUGCCAAUAGAUUAAACUUAUUCACACUAUAACAUAAAAAUGCUAUUACGCUCAAUUAUAGAAGUUGCUCAAAAGACUAAAGACAGUCCAAGUCGGAACUAAACAACAAGGCUAUAGCUUGCUCUUCUUCCAGCCUUUAUUCUUGAAGAUAUAAGAUUAUAGAUUAUCUCCCCUCCUAAUCUCUCUUUCCAUCCCUCCUCUCAUAUUUAAAUGGUUACCGCGUCAACAUCUUGUUUUAAAUUUAUUAUAUAGACAAAAAGACAAAAAAGAAAAGUGUAAGAGGAGGAGAGAGAAUGAAAUGGUACUAGAAGGUAGAGAAUCCUACUCCAAGUGUUCGCUAGGGGCGAGGGGGACCCUGAGAGCAAAAGACUCUUCGUCUUCAGGUUUGAGAGUAAACCCUUUACAUCCUACACCAUGCUAAUAAUAUCCACCAAUUCUCUAUUUUAUUUAUAAAAAAAUAAAUUAAAAAUAAAUUAAAAAAAAUAAAAAAAAACAUAUGAGGGUGAAUAGUACCAUGAUUGAUAUUUUAGUGUAAAUAUAUGAUUUUUCCUUAAAGUGAACAGUACCGAAAGUUUUUCGUUAAAAUUCUAUUUUCUUUAAUUAGUAAUUAAUAUUAAAGUUCGUCUAAGAUUAUUUUUUAAAGGAGAUAUAUAUUAAAAGUAUCAAAUAGAAAAAACAAGACAACAUCAUUCAAAAAAAAGAAAACUAAUGAAAAUAGCUUGAAAACUUUGAGUUUUAACGAUAAGGAUAAAGGGUAAAGUGAAUAGUACUAGGUUUGACUUUUUAGUGUAAAAAUAUGGUUUUUCGUUAAAAUGAACAAUAUCGCGGGCUUUUCGUUAAAACUCUCUUCAAAAAAGGGAAAGGGAUCAUUUUCGGAUCUGUUCUACCUAAUCCUCCUCAUCAAAUAAUCCGAGCUUUUGAAAUUUGAUCUAACAGUUAAAGUUAUUAUAACUUUUAGAAUUAGUCCGUAUUUUUAACAGUUUAAUCAAAUUUUAAAGAUCUAAAUUAUUUGAUAAUGAGAAUUAGAUGAAAAUGAUCAAAUGAUCCCUUUUCCAAAAACAGGAAAAAGAAAAACAAGACAGCAAGUUUCUUUUAACCAAGGUAUUAAAUAUCGGUAAUAUCGGAAAUAUCGGUAGUCUGAAAACACGGAAAUAUCGAUGGAAAUAUCGGUAAAAUAUCGAUAUCGAUAUCGAUAAAAAUUACAUGGAAACCACGGAAAUUGUAAGAAAAACUUAGAAAUUUUAAUUGAAACUUUGCAAGAUGUUUAUUUAGUCAAUUAUCUAUUAGUUUAUCACAAAAAAUUGGAAGGAAAUGCAUUGCAUGAUGGAUUUAACUGAUUUAAAUUGAUUAUAUAGCGAGCUGGCAAACAUUGUGAGUGUAAAAAAUAUAUAGUAAUUAAUGAAAAAAGUUUAAAGACACCACAAUUAUUAUAUAUAAUGAAUUAGUACAAUAUUUUACACUUUAUAUAUUGCAUUUUUUUUUCUCUCAGAUAACACACACAGACUGACACAUAGCCCGGAUAUUUUGAAAGCAGGUUUGGAUUUUUUUUUUCUUCUCUCGGAUAACACACACACACCCCACUUCUACACACACACACUUCAAAGUGCACCCCACUUCUACACACACACGCACAGACACACUGUAACAACCCAACCCCAAAUUUUUAUAUAUUUUCGUGGUUCCCCAAAUAAUUAUGAAAUUAUCGUUUUAGUCCCCUAUCUUAACCAAAUCUGGACCAUUCAUCUUGAUUUCCAAAUUCUCUCAAGCUACCACAUGGCAGCACCCUAGCACCCUCACGUAUCUCUCUCUCUCCCCACCCCGUGACCUCUUUCUCCUUCUUUCUUCUCUCUGCACUCACUCUCCCUCUCUCGAAGACCCUCACUCUUUCACCCUUUGACCCACACCCGAGAGCACCCACGCACACCCUUCGUGGUACUCCGUCGACGGCAUCGGCAUCGUCAUCACCUUCUACACGCCGUCGUCUCUCUCUCUCUCUUUCUCUCUCUCCCGUCACUGCGCAACUCGACGAAACCCCAAGAACCUCCGGCGAGUUCUUCAUGGGUUAUGGUUAGGUAAGCCUCGAACCUCUCUUUCCGUGUUGGUUUGUUGCUUGGAUGUGAUUAUUGAGGUUAUUCUGUCCUUUUUACCAAGGAUUUAGCACGGAAUCAGCCCGGGAAUAGGCGCACCCAUCUCCGGCGAGACCGUGGGUAUCGAGAGGUUUUCCGACCACCACGGGUCGUUUCACGGCAAAUGGAAGGUAUAAACGCACUCCUCUCGUCUCGUGCUUUUAUUUGAUACCUAGAUCGGGGUCUAGAACCCUUGUUUGUGGUCGACCGGAGCUGUAGAAGCUCCGGCGUUCUUCUCCGAGUAGCACGGUUAAAAAAAUAUCGCGAUAUUAUCGAUAUUAUCGAUAAUAUCGCGAUAUUUUGCCGAAAACCAUUUGGAUACCUAUUUAAAUAUCCAUUACCUGAAAAACCGAUAAUAUCGGCGAUAUUUCGCCGAUAUUAUCGAUAUUUUCUUCCAUGCUUUUAACAGAUGAAUUUUAUUAGAGGUGGAAUUGGGGUCCAACAUCCCAGGUGUUUUCUGAUAGCAUAACCCAAUAACGUCAAAUCCAUUAAUUUGAUUAUUUAAUAAAUGGCUCCCACAAUAGGAUUUGGAUCCUCUAUGAGACAAUUGGUCGGGAUCUUCCUGACCAGUAUUUGUGGGCCGUUGGAUUUUUAUCUAACGGUUAUAAAUAGGGGGACCCUCUAAAUUUAUAAUAAUUAUAGUCGUUGGAUAAAAAUUCAACGGUCCACAUACAUCGAUCAGGAGGAUCCUGACCAAUUACCUCAGAGAGGAUCCAAAUCCCCCACAAUACACCAAUCACGUACCCCUCCCAACCAAUUUACACAAUUUUUGUAACAGUAGGUCCCACAAUAUAUAAUAAAAAGGAAAUUUGACUCAUCAUUUGAAAAAAUAAAAAAAAAUUUAACAUUUAACUUCAAAUACUCAUUUUAGUCAUUAAAUAAAAUUUAACAAUUUAUAAAUGAGUAAUGUUAGAGAAGCUAAUUUUUUAGACUAAAUUUUAUAAAUUAUAUGUAUUUGUUAACGAUUAAAUUAUUAUUUAAGUGUUGCUUAAUGUUUAUAUAGAGCCACAACCCACAAAGUCCUACACAAAUAGCAUGUUUUAGUUAUGGAGGCAGUUGUGGUGGAUAUGAUCUGAUCACUUGAAGAAAAUGACGAGUCUGCGGAUCUUUGUGGAUCUUCAUCUUUCACAUGGGAGGUUUUAUGACUACACCUACCAAAUUUAAUCACAACAGCGAACUUGAUAAUGAGACAUCAAUAAUUCAACGAUUCAGAAAACUUCAAUUAAAUUGGGACCCAUAAAUAAAUAUGUGGAAUUCCUAAUACUUCUUUUGUAAUCGAUCAAAGCUAGAUCAUUGAUGCCUAAUUCAGAAAGAGGAGUGUUAUUGGCACUUUAAAAGUCUCAUUGUACACUCUUCACAAGUGUAUUUUUCUUUCUUAAUAUAGAAAGUUUGGAGUGUAGAAUAAGAUUUUUGGAAUGCUACUAACAAUUCCCUUCAAAAAAAGGUUUUUCUGUUUUGCAUGCAACAUCUGGACACAUGAAUAUUCUUUGGCAUUCUAAUUGCGCACACGUAUUAUCUUUCAAAUAUAGAAAAUUUGAAGUGCAAUUAAAUUUUUAGAAUGUAAAUAAAAGGGGAAACUUGAUAUAACUCCAAUUUUUUGAGCCAAUAGUAAGAAUAGUCCAAUUUAUUAAAAUAAAUCCAAUUCUUUAAAUUUAAUUAUUUAAUUAUCAAUAAUUAUCUCUUAAAAGAAAAAACUUAUUGUAAAAAUCAAAUUUCUUCCUAAUUAUCUCUUUGAUUAUUAUUAUUAUUUUUUUUUAUUUCUUGUUCUUCUUCCUGCUUUAACCCAUUUAUAGAUUUUUUUUAAUUUUUAUAAUCAACCUAUAUCAUAGGUUAAUUGUAUUUAUCUACCUAUAUGACAGAUUCUUUUUCAUAGUUAACAUGUCACAUAUUAAUGUGUCUUGCUUGUAGGUAUAUUAUAUUUUUUUUCUACCUUUUAGUUAGGUUUCAUAUCUCACUUAUAGGUAUAAUAUACAUUCAUAUAUUUGCUACUUGAUUUAGGGUAGAAUGUUUUGCAGAUAGAUUUAUGUUAGUAUAUUAAUUUUUUUUGUUUAUAAGAUAUUAAUUAGAUAUUUUGGAGUUGAAAAAUGCAUAAUAUUAAAAGAUUUUAAUUGAUUUUUAAUAUUUUUAGAAAAUAUAAAAGGAGUAUAAAAGAAAUAAAAACAUAUAAUUAAAUAACCGGAGUCACUCCUAAAAACACUCUAUGUUUUUGGACCUGGAUCUAAAAGCCCCUAAAUAAAAUUACCUUCUUUUAUUGGUUUUUUUAAGGCUCGCAAAAAUGGUUGUCUUUGUUGUUUGGCGAAGGAACUUCUUGGAUAUCAUCAUAUUGUGGUCUUCUUUUUCGCUUGUAUUGCUAAAAAAUAACUAAUUACAAAUCGAUUUUCAUCAAAAGGGUUGUUAAAUAAGAUAUUAAUUAAUGCUAUAUUUUUUUUCUUGAUACUGUUUGGGUCUCUCAACCUCGAUUUAUUAUUUUGCAUUUUAUUUCUUCCAUGAUCAUAUGUAUCUCCAUUGUUUAACAACAACUAAAAAUACUAUUGUUUCUUUAAAAAAAAGUACUAUGUAUUUGAUUAAGGCGAUUUUAUAUGACGAUGAGCAACAAAGUGGAGACGGUGCACUACACCUUUUAUUUUGCAUACCAUAGUUCAUACAUUACAAUCUCACAUAUGAUAUCCCUUCACGUACAUUUGUUACAAGGCAACUUACAAAGCAAAGCAUUUUAAUUACUUGUAAUCAAGCAAAAGGCACGCAUUAUUAACACAAAUAUUAUAUACUAACGAUGGACGUCACACUGUUUCACCAUUGCAUUCUUUUCCUUUCCUUAAUUUAUCAUGCCUUGAUAAAGUGAGCAUCAAGAUCCUUGACGAUGUUAACCAUCAAACCGACGUAUUUGUCCGGACUGCAACAUCCUCAGUCAGUUUCUCAUAUUCAGUCGACAAUUUUGCAAUGUUGCCUUCAUUCUUUUGAGUGAAUUGAUAGACCGGCUUGAAGCUCUUGUAAUACUGGAAGACAUCUCCUUCCAGUCCAUUCAGUGUUAUGGAUUUGUUCUCGUUGUUUGACUACACUUUUUCCUUGAAUACUCGAACUUCGUCCCCUAUGUAUUCACAAGAAAGUGGUCUCUAUAUUGACCAAGGAACAAUAAAGGGAGCGUUUGAUAAAUAAUUUGUUUUAAGUUUUCACAAAAAUGAAAAUUGAAGUUAUUUUUGUCAGUUUUCUAAAUUUAUAUUAGUAAUUUUUAUUUUUUGAAGACUGAAAUAACAUGAGAUUGUUGAAUUAUUGCGGCACACCUCGAUUCUUUACCAACAUAUUUUGUUCUAAUUAUCCAUUAUAUCAAUAUAUAGUUUUCACUUAUGGGUUAGUUGUUCGCUUGUGAAUCAGGGUUUAGUUAUUGCGAUCCUUCUAAUAUUGCUGGAUUAUGAUUAACAUAUAAUUGUGUUCUGAUCUUAGAGAAAAAGGUACAUAUCAUGUUAAAUACAUGAAGGUAUUUAUAUGAGACGAAGAGAAUGGUACCUUUUUAGACAGCUAAAUCGCCGUGGUUUGGCCGUAAAACGGCUUGAAAGUGGCUAACUCGAGACCAAGACAGCCACUUUCGAGCUGUUUUCCGGCCAAACCACGGCGAUUUAGCAAUUAAAAAAGGUACCAUUCUCUUUGUCUUGUCAAGAAGUAUGAUUUUCAUUUUUGAAUCACUUGAUUUCUGAGUAUUGAAGAAGUUAUGAACGUUUUGAAGUUUGCCCAGUUUCCGGUGAGUUUUCAAGUUUCACUUUGACCAAUCAACUUUGAGGCUAUUUUCCGGCAAUCUUCGGCAACCAUUGGGCUUCUAAAUAGCUGUAAUCUUAUUCUACACUUUCCUAUCUUCAUUUUGAUAUAUUAUGGGUCAAAUUUGGUUAAGAAACGAUUGAGUUACGAAACUUUGAAAAUUGCCCAAACUUCCGACCAAGAGCUCCGGAACACUUAACGGAGUUUUUAACGGAAUGACCAAAAUGAUGGAUGGUGGCCAAUCGCAGGGACCACUUUUAUCGAUUUGGAAUCUCAGGGACCAAAGUGAUGAGUUAUGCAAAUCUCAAGGACCAUUUUGGCGAUAAAAUUAUGAAAUUUGGUACAAUCUUCUUGACAGACUCACGAACCCGCUCCAAUUGGAAUCACUAAAAAAUUCUACCGUUUGAUUACUUUAUGCUUAAAACAAGUUCACAUGUCCUACAAUAAAAACAUAGAGCAAAGCAUCAAAAUGUCACUAAAAUAAUAACCAAAAUAUACCAAGAAUAGGGAAUAAUAUAUAGUAUAAAAUCGACUCAUCAUGACCUUGCAUGAACUUAUAAGUAAGUUGGGCUACUUUUCAUAUUGCCAAUUGGUUUUAUGGUGUCACCUUAACUUUCUUCAUACCCAUGUGUGAAGCCAAAAGACUACGUGCGCUCCAUGUCACCCAUUUGUGUUGCCCACCUGUUAGGCUUAAAAAAUUUCCACACAUGAGGAGGCGUAUUAAGAAUGAAUCUCACAUUAAUGGGAGGAGAAAUUUUGCAUGGACUUAUAAGUAAGUUGAAAAAAAAUAUUGGACAAAUAUUGUAGAGUACACCACAUUUUAUUUUAUAGAUGCGAUCGACAACCAUAAUCUAUUACAUCACAAUGUCAUAUAUGACAUCCUUCGUACAUCUUUUACAAUACACACAAACCUAAUUAAGAAAAGCAUUUUAUUUAAGUAGGUACGCAUUGAUGAACAUAUGCAUGCAUGAUUACAUAUAAUUGAACCCUUUUUAACAAGACCAGCAAAAGCUCUUUCCAACCGUUGCAUAUGACGUAUGGUUUUUAUUCAUUAAUUAAUUAAUUUAUGCUCCCAGAAGGUGAGCGUCAAGAUCCUGGACGAGUUUAACCAUCAAACCGACAUAUCUAUCUGGAGCUUCAACAUUCUCAUUCAGUUUCUCGUAUUCGAUCCACAGGUUGGCAAUGCAGGUGCCUUCAUCUUUUUGAGUGAAUUUAUAGACACCCUUGAAGCUCUUAUAAUACUUGAACACUUCUCCUUCCAAUCCUUUCAGAGUUGCAGCCUUGUUCUCAUCGUCUAGCUCCACCUGUUCCUUGAAUAUCCCGACAUGAUCCCCUAUAUAUAUGCAUGCAUGCAUUCAUGGUUAAUUUCAUAACAACAAAAUAUAUAAACUUUCUCACCCUCUCUUAUUAGGAUCUUGUUUCCACCGUAGGAAAAAGGGGGCAAUAUGACUUAUUUACGAAACAUGUAUUUACUGUAUAUGACUCUCAUUGUCUAGAACAAAAAUUGAAGGAAGCAUUGAAAUAUAUAUAAGAGGUCAUAUAUGGUAAAUACAUGAUUUCUACGAUUGUUCUAUCUCGACCUUGUUUUUGCUACAACAAAUCAGAAUUUCUGCGAAAAAGCUGUAAACAUUGAAACUCAUGCUAUGAACGUAUGAUGAUUUGAGCACAUCUGUUAAGGUAUACAUACAUAUAAAGUGAAUAAUUAAACAGGAAAAUUGAAUUAAGUAGCGGUACCUAGUUCAUAUUUCCAAAUCUUAACAGAGCCGUGUGUUUCCCAAUCUCCUUCAUGCACAUCAACUCCUUUGAUAUGGGUAUUAGAGAUGUUUGGGAUGAGGUGGGCGCUCUUGAACAUGUUGUACAACUUGUCAGCUGGUGCCUUAAUUUCUAUUUCAGUCCCAAUUUUACCAUGCAAAACCAUGUUUAUGAGCAGUUUUGAUGGGUGCUACUCAGAAAUUAUAAGAGAAGAAUGUUAAAGGAUAUGUAUAAUUUGGGCUCCUACCCUCCUUAAAUAGAAGCGACUAGAGUUAAAUUGCGAGAUAAAACUUAAUGUGUCCGGAACACGAUACAGUACGCCAUAUAUAUAAUAUAUGUAAUAUAAAUGGAGGGAAAGUUUUUUUAUUUUAUUUUAUUUUUUUCAAGUGUUUCUCUACUUGUGUAUGACAUACGACGUAUGUACCCGUGUUCUGGAUAUUAAAAAUUCUCUCAUAAUAUUUUAAUAGUGGGUAAUCCAAUUUAAAAACCAAAUCAUGCAACACGUGAUAAGGAUUAAGUCAUAUAUUUUUUAAAUCAUACUUCUCGGAUAAUUGGAAUCCUAUGAAGUAAUGAUCACAAGUUCACAAUAUGCAUGGAUAGAUGAAGGGUUUGCUCAUGAGUAAUGUUAGGGAAACCAAAUUUCUAAAUCAAAAUUUGUAAACAAAAUAAUGUAGAGGUAGAUGAUUGAAUUAUUAUUUAAGCGUUGAUUAAUAUGCUUAUUUCUUAUUAAUAACAUAUCAUUUGAUUUGUAUUCACGCAUGCGAUAAAGAUUAGAUUAGUACGAUCACACUAAAAAUUUAUUUGUAAAUGUUUUAAAAUAAAAUGUAAUUUAUCUGCAAAAUGUUUUUUUAAGGUACGAUAUUCUUUAAUAACAAAUUUAUACGUACAUCAAUGAGGAUAGGGUGUAAACAAAGGGCCUCGAUAAAAACCUUGCCGGGGUUUUCAACCCGUUCGAAGAGAGAUUUUUCAAUGUGACCGUCACACAAGGAGGUACACCACGUGUCUCUAUGUAAAUGGUUAUAUAUGUGUGUUAAAAGAUUAAUAACUUAAAAAUUAAAAUUUUCCACCACUUACAUAAAAACACGUGAUAUACCAUCCGUGUUCCCGUCACAACUAAAAAUUUUCCCUAGUCGAAUGGUAAAAGAGUGUCCCACACCAACAUAAUUAAUUAGGAAUUGCUAUCCUCAAAGAGAAGAUCAAGAAUUACAUUAGGAAGUUCCUCAAACCAAACCACAGUGUUACCAUAACUCAAGCUCAUAUGUGCUAGCCUGCGUGCCACCUUGUUCGUCUCCCUUCGACUAAAUUCAAUCUUCCACUUGAACAAUGAAUGAAUAAUUGCGUGUGUCGUUUAGAAUGUUUCCAAAAUGUGACAUGUCAACACUUCCUUCUGCAAAAUGUUUUAGAAUAAAAAGUUUUAUCUCUAUUUAUUUAUUAUCAUUAUUAUAUUUCUGGAAAGAUCGAUACGUAUGGGCCAUGGCGUCUGGUUUUUUUGUCAUGGCGUCUGGUUUUUUUGUUAAAAAGCCAUCAAAUGGGGAGGCAGCGAUGAGGUAUUAGGUAUCCACAAAUGUCAGUUCACAAAAUAUUAUACUAAAAGUAAUUGAAAAGAAUCAAACAAAUCAAACAAAUAUUAAUUCUUUGCCCAAAAUAAUCCACUAAAAAAAGGGUCCACAGCAUAGUUUUUUCCACUAGAGUUUAUCGAUCCUUGAAGACUAUCAUUGAUGAUUGAUCAUCCAACAGGUGCAUUAUUUAUUUUUUAACAAACGCUAAUAGUUACACUAAGGGAAUGGAGGAGUGUGUUAAGUCUUACAAUAGGCUUGGCAAAAUAAUGUGAUUCAUUUUCGUUUAUGGCGAGAAUCAAAUCUAAGAUCUCUUACAUAUAAGUGAAGAGGGAUAGCACUAGACUGUAAUACUAAAUGGCCACAUACAGUAUUUAUAGAUAACAAUAAUAACAAGAAAUACUUUUUUUUUUUCAUGCUGGACCAUUUUUUCUAAGGUGAUGCUAGAAAUACCUUCUUUUUAAACUACAAUUGUAAAUCACGUGAUGUGGCGGUUAAUGGUCAGAUUUUUUUUUUACUCAUUAAAAAUGUAAUCCAACUAUCAACAGCCACAUCAUUUGAUUUACAAAAUUUGGUCUAAAAAGAUGGUCUCCCUAGCAUUUUGCUUCUCUGUAUAACUUUUAGUCAUGACUCUAUACCGACUUUCAUUUCUAGAUUUUAAAAUUACGCCACGCUACUCGUUAGGUCCGAUUUCAAAAAAUCGAAAACAGAAAGAAAAAAAAUUGAACCAUUCACCAAACCAAAACAGCAAGAACAAAAAAUUAAAAUUGAAUAAGCAGAAUCGAACCAAAAUUUUGGUUCGAUUCGAUUUCGGUUUUAGUAGUUCAAAAACCGAACUGCACUGAAAUACCUUGUAACCAUAACAAGUGCAUUUGUUACACUUGACUAUCUCGGACUGGAUUAAGCUCAGGGACUAAGUUAGACUGGCUUAGACUAGACUAAACUGAAUUAAUUUAGUUAAGUGUUUGUUCCAAUGCCGGACUAACAAGCAAAAUAAUAUUUUUCUUUUUUUUUCUUUUUCUUUUUCUUUUACCAUUUUCUACAACACAUUCUCUUUUGAGAAAGUUCUCCCUUUUCUCCAUUUUUUUUCUUGAAAUGUUAUCCUCACAACCCAGAAUCAACGUCUGCUCGAUUGGGUUCUUCUGAUAAUCCCUAAGUGGAGCCUCUGCAACCACAGCUUCAUCUCAAUCUUUUGCACAUCUUCACAAAUUCGCUCAAAUCACAAAAUCCAAAUUCGCGGGAAUUGCAAAAACCCAUAUUCAAUUCCAAUUCGCUUGAAUCACAAAACCCAACUUCGUUGGAAGUGCAAAUCACAUAUUUGAAUCAUGAAACCCAAACUUGAAAUGCAAACCCCAAACUCAAAUUGCAAAUCCAAAAUUCCGUUCGAAGCUUUGCAACAUUUGCAUAAAUCAGUUUCCACCCACAAAAUCGAGUAAAGUAAAUGAUUGAGAGCGCAUGAGGAGGAAGCGGGCCUUCCAGAAGACGUGACUUAUUUUUGUGUUCUUUGAGAUUCGAAAUGAACAGACGAAGAAAUCCUGGUUUCGCGAGUGUAGGCAACGGCAAAGCAAGCAAACGAAGCAAGCAGGGAGAGGAGAGAGGAUGCGAUGCAGAGAGAGAACAGGACGGAGCAAGGUCUUAGCAAUCCCAUGGUUUUCCCGGGGAUUGGCCAAGACCUAGUGAAGGAGAUAAGCCGUGCGAGUCCUAUUUAAUCCCACUUAACUUAGUCUGUAACUUAGUCCGUGAACGCAACAAACACGGGAGUACCCUAAUGUUUAAUCCUAUCUAGUCCAGUGAUAGUUAACGAGUCCAAACAAACGCACCCUAAGUGUAUUCCUCCUCUCCUCCUCGUCCUCAUCGCUUUAGUUCAAUCCUCUCCUAACUUAAGUCAUGUUCCUCUGCGCCUCUGACGCUCCACGUCCUCAAUCUUCAAUCCUUUCUCGACGUCUUCAGGUCAUCUCCAACCGAAGGGUCCAGAAGGCCAAAGGGCCUAAAAUAGCCCGAAAACCGUCUCCAACUGAGGGCUAGGCCAUAGGGCUCUAGAAUCUGGGAGGGCCCCACGGAAUCGGAGAGGGCUUAAGGGCUGGCCUUUUUUUUUUUAAUGUUUUGUUAUUUCUAUCGGUUAUAACCGACAGAAAUAAUAUAUAUUAUAUUAUUAAUGUCGGUUAUAACCGACACUAAUAGCAAUGUUAAUAUAAUAUCAGUUUGAACAGUGUCGGUUAAAAUCGACACUAAUUUGAAUUCCAACGGCUAGCCAGUCACUAGCCGUUGUAUUCAAAUUUUUUUUUUCUUUUUAUGAAUUUAAACCUUUUUUUUUCUAUAACUUCCUAUAACUUUUUUUCUAUAACUUAUAUUUUACAAAAUUUGGUUCAUAUUUUUUCGUAUAACUUCUAUUUCACAAAAUUUGUUUCAUAUUUUUUUUUAAAUUCUAUUUUUUUCUAUAACUUCCUAAGCCAUUAUACAACAUUAAAUUAAAUUAAGUAACAUAAAACAACAUUAAACAAUAUGAAACAACAUUAAAUAACAUUAACCAACAUAAAAAUUAUACAACAUGAAACUUAAACAACAUUUUUAAAAACAUUUAGCCGUUGGAUUUGAAUUUAAGUUGUAGUUUUUAAAUAAUAAAUUAUGUUUGGCGUGAUGGCUCUUUGGCCCUCGGUUGGAGACGGUUUUUUGUGAUAGGACUAAAACGAGCCAUCUAGCCCUCGGUUGGAGACGGAGACAAAUAUAAUCAUGUACUGUUCAUUAAAAUAUUAAUAUCUUAGAGAAUCUUGAAGGGCCAAAGGGCUAAAACGAGCUAUCUGGCCAGCCAUCGGUUGGAGAUGGCCUCAUGUUUCAGAUAAUCAGAAUCACCUCGAUAGACAAAGAAAAAGAGGGACGUCGAGAUCCCUCCAUCGCAACUCCUUCACCGCUGCUCUUCCAUCACAGCUCCACCGAAACCUGUCACCCUUUAAUCUAACAGUGUUUGCUGUUGAAUAAUUUUUUUUUUUUUGACAAGUCAUAGGAUAAUCCAAAUUUACCGAAACUACGAAGAGGGAAAUAUUUUGAACACAAGACGCAGUGAGUUAAAUAGAAAGAUAAUAAAUUUCUAUAUUUGGAUCAUCAUGAAAUGAAUUAAGAACAAAGGAAAUUGGUCGUUAUAGGACAGUUACAAAUUUUUGUUGCUGAAAUAGUAAAAUCAACACGACCGACAUAAGGCUUGACACGUGAAAUGUCUCAAAUGGCCAUGUACGUAUAUUACCUAGAAGAACACGAUCGAUCAUAUUGAUUUUCCUAUUACUUUCAGCAAAAAGGUUUUGUAAUGUCCUACAACCACCAUUUUUGCCUAGUCCAUUGAAAAUGAAAAGAGAAGCAAAAACACAAUCCAAUAUCUAGAUGGUAUAUCAUACUUUUGAGAUUCGAAAUCCUAUUUGUAUGAUGUAAUCAGUAACUGUGCACAUCAGCCAUGCAUAAUUGAGAUCCAGUUAAGAUUUAUACAUUAAAUUAUAUACAGAAUCAUCUUUGUAAACAUGAGGUAUUGAUCACUUAUUUAGCAGAUCUAUCUUUUCUGGAACUAACUGUAACCGGAGAGGCAGAAAGGCGAUUAUGUUCAUCUGAAACCACCGGGUAAUCGAGUUUCUUACUAUUGUUUUCAUCUUUGUAAGACUUUGAAGGAGAUGCUGAUCCAAAUAUCUGCACUGUUAGGCUUCCACCCGCAGAGAGAAACAAGAAGUAAACAUGAAUAAUGCAUACCAAAAACAAACAAGUAUACAUCAACCUACAAGACGCUUGGGGAUAUGCUGAAGUGCAGGGGAAAGGAUAAUGCAUUGGUCCUUCAUGAUAUAACCAAAUGAGCUGGCUUAGUCGCGCAUACGUUGUACCUCGGAUUGGAUUAAAAUUAGGGAACUUUAAUGAAAAGCACCCGGUACUGUUCACUUUAACGAAAAACCACAUUUUUUCACUAAAAAGUCAAUCCUGAUACUAUUCACUUUACCCUUUAUUUUGUCCUUAUCAUUAAAACUCAAAGUUUUCAAGCCCCUUUCAUUAGUUUUCCUUUAAAAUUACCGUAAGUAGUAAGAAGCUCAAAGUUUUGUCCAAAGGGUUGAAAACUUAAAGUCUAAGACACAAGGGAAUAAUCAGGUUCCACAAGGAUGCCGCCCAUGAUCCCCAUGGGAAUUUAUAAAGAACUAUGAAGUAUGUCACAGUUUGAGUUUGAAUAUUGGUACUGAAGUUCGGUAAACUUCUACCCAAUAUAACGUCUAGUUGACAGUACGCUCAAUCCUAUAUAACCACUGUUUUUUCUACGGUAAAAGGUGGUUCGAACAUCUAGCAUGAAACUGGAUAAAUCUUUGCUGCUGAAAGUUUGUUAAAUUCAAAGCAUUGCGCUUAUUGAUGGUCUACUUGGUAGUUUACUAAUACUAGGUAAUGAUAAAUAAAAAUUGUGAGGUAGAGGUUUUUUUUUAUUCCCUCUAACCAGAGGUAAAGAGUACUUUACCUAGCACCAGAGCAGCGCCAACCCAACCAGUAGCACCCCACCUUUCCCCAAGGAGAAACCAUGCAAAAGCAGCACCCCAGACCGGCUCCAAACUAUAAAUUAUUGCUGUUUCUGUUGCUGAUACAUCACGCAUUGCGGCCAUCUGGAAAAAAUACUUUCCAUCAAAACUUUAAGCUAAAAAGAUGCGUUGCAAAUAAAACAAUAUUGGAGAGUUUUUUUUGUUUGGAAACAGCAUAAGUAGUAUACUCAACCAGAGGUCCUAUAAUUUACAAAUAUUAAUUUUUUAUACCGGCGAUAAGAUAAGCUUUAUAUCGGAGAUAUUUGUAUCCAUUGAAUCACUAGUAACUUAGAAUAGUAAAAGGUCGUACCCAGUGCACAAGGCUCCCGCUUUACGCAGGGUCUGGGAGAGGUGAAUGUCGGCUAGCCUUACCCACUCUCAGAUCAGCAUUUACACAUACCUCUACCCAUAAGCAUAGACCAGUCGAAAAUAUGCCCGAGUACAGUGCAGGUAUCCAUGGGAACACAACCAUCCAUUCCCAGAACAUACCGCACGUCCAUAACGAUGGGUUAAAAUCUUGGAGGCCACCCGACCCUACUCCAACACAGUACCAUAUUGUUGACAUGACAGUAACAACACAUACCUGAAUGGAAUCUUAGAACCUUAGAACUGUCCACACCACCAAUAAAGAUUAACAAGUAGCAUUAAUCACGAUACAAUUACCAUGGACAUAACAUAAGGACAACAUAUACUAACCUCAUAACAAACCAGGUACGAGCAGGAACUAUUGCUCAUGACAUACCAUCAAGCAAGGGAACUAUAACUACCUGUUAAAUUCAACAAGAAAAUGCCAAACAUUGUAUCUUCAGGUACUCCCAGAAAGCAAGAAAUUUGCCUUCCCAUAAAUGCAUAGAAGGUUAAUAAAGGUACUUACAGUGAACAUGGACUGAAACGAUGCACGACCAGCAUCUGAAGUUUGCAAUCCCAGUGCCUGCAUGAGAUACCCUAGACUGACCCAGGGACCCAACUCAAUCCCUGCUUUACAUGUCUGAGCAUCACCUCGAGCUUGGAACACAAAAGGGAUGAACGGAAUGGCUGACACAGCAAACCGCACAAUAGUGAAGGCUGCCGGGUCCAUGACGGCUUCCACCUCUUUUACAAUCGAGAAAUUACUGGCUACUGUUGGAAAUUCAAAUUAAAAGUCAUGUGAUCUGUCCAUGUGAUGCUAACCUUUCUUUACAGAUUGUUUCCAGCAAAAUAUAAUCAUCAUUGCUCCUUCAUUAUUCAGCCGAAUGGUGAUGAAAGACAGCAAGUGUGCUGCCAUGUGAUGUGCUAGCAGGAAGACAGCAGUGUGCUGCCAUGUGCUAGUCGAAUCUGUGUUAUUUGCAGCUGGAAAGACAGCUGCUGUGUGCUAGCCGAAUGUAGACAACCUGGAAUACAUUUGGUCUUUUCAUUUUCACGUUCCCAUGUGUUAAAGACAGCAGAUAUGCUGCUGUCUGUGUGCUGUCAAUGGAUGGUGUAAAGGUGUAGGUUGUCUUGUAUUUAAGGAAGCCUCUCGUAAGGCUUCAGUGUGCAUAAGAAAAAUCCCAUCUGAUUUGUCAUUCAGUUCUUGAAGUGUAUUUGCAAUCUGUUUUUAAUAUCAAAGUGCCUUGUUUCCCAAAGCUUGUAGCUUCCCUCAUUUCUCUAUUUUUGUCCAAUUUUAUUGAGAGUGAAAGUGAGAGGUGUGAUAGAGUUUGUAAACUUAUCAACCACAUAUUUUGGUAUUGAGUUAGUAAACUUCUCAAUACCAACAGUUGGUAUCAGAGCCAGAAUACCAUUCUGGCAGGUGCAGCAGUUAUGGCAUCCAACUUAGUGCAGCUCCAAGUUCCCACAUUGAAGAAAGAAAAUUAUGAAAGAUGGUGCAUCCAAUUCAAAGCAUUGUUUGGAUCACAAGAGCUAUGGGAAGUUGUCAGUAAUGGGUAUGUUGUACCCACUACCGAGCAAGAAGCCACAUAUACUGCAGAUCAAAGGAACACUCUCAAGGAUUUACGAAAGAAGGACCAGAAGGCGUUGUAUCUUCUCUAUCAAGGAUUAGAAGAUUCAACGUUCGAGAAGGUUGCAGAAGCAACAACGAGCAAGCAAGUAUGGGACACACUCAGUACAAUCUACAAAGGAGUAGAUCGAGUCAAGAAAGUGAGGUUACAGUCACUUCGAGCAGAUUUUGAAACUGCUCACAUGAAUGAAGGGGAGAGCAUCUCCGACUAUCACUCAAGGCUCAUUGUGAUAGUAAAUCAGAUGAGGAGAAAUGGCGAGAGACUCGAUGAAGUACGAGUUGUGGAGAAGAUACUUCGGUCACUCACAUCUAAGUUUGAGCAUGUGGUGACUGCCAUUGAGGAAUCCAAGAAUUUGGAGGCGAUGAGCGCAGAGGAGCUACUAGGAUCCCUCCUAGUUCACGAGCAACGCAUUCAGAAGAAUGCAAGCCCCACAACACUAGAGCAAGCUUUGGAGUCAAAAUUGAAAAUUGACAAACCAAAUAAAGGUCGUGGGCAGUGGAACUCACGUCGUGGGAGUUCAUCCAACCGUAGCCGAGGACGAGCCCGAGGAAGAGGUCGAGGCUAUGAACAAAACCGAGGUCAAUCUCAAGAGUGGAGAUCUACCCGAGGAAAUGCGCAUAUCCAAUGUCACACUUGCAAGCAAUAUGGACAUUAUGCCAAUGAAUGUUCACAUAAAAAUGGUGAGCAUGUCAACAUGGCAGAAUCAAGUGGAAAUACUGAUGAAGAACUUACAGUCUUGCUAGCACACCAUGAUUCCAGUAGCCAACAAGAUGUUUGGUAUUUGGACUCUGGUGCAAGCAAUCACAUGUGUGGAAAGAAGGAGUUUUUUGCCGAACUCAAAGAUGGGGCCUAUGGAUCUGUAAGUCUUGGUGACUCCUCAAAGUUGCCAGUUGAAGGCAAAGGGAAGAUCAAGAUCAUCCAGAAUGAUGGUAGAGAAGAAUACAUCUCCGAUACCUACUACAUACCAGGUAUGAAGAGCAACAUUCUGAGCAUUGGUCAACUGCUCCAGAAAAGGUAUAUUAUACAUAUGGAGGAUAUGUUUCUCACUCUCAGGAAUGCAAGGAGAAAACUUAUUGCACGUGUUCAAAUGUCAAAGAACCGAAUGUUUCCCGUUGAAGUUGAACACAAAGAUUGGGAGUUGCAACAUCGGUGUAAUGGAAGAUGAGUCAUGGAAAUGGCAUCUUCGAUUUGGCCAUCUUCAUUUCAAUGGCCUAAAGUUGCUGUCAAGUGGAGGAAUGGUUCGUGGUCUACCCCAGAUUGAAGUCACACGCCAAGUAUGUGAAGGUUGUGUGCUUGGCAAGCAAGCACGACUAUCAUUCCCUGUUGGUGAUACAUGGAGAGCAAAGGCACCACUGCAAAUGGUACACACGGAUAUAUGUGGUCCAUUGGAUCCUAUUCUUAUGGAGGUAAAUAGGUAUUUUAUUACUUUCAUUGAUGAUUUCAGUAGGAAGACUUGGGUUUAUUUUCUCAAGGAGAAGUCGGCUGCCCUAAAAAUCUUCAAGGAGUUCAAGGCACUCACAGAGGCUGAAAGCAACCACAAGCUUGUGGCUGUGAGAUCAGAUAGAGGUGGAGAGUACACCUCCAAUGCUUUCCAAGCAUACUGCAAGGAGCAAGGAAUUAGGCAUCAACUGACUGCUGCCUAUACCCCACAGCAAAAUGGGAUAGCCGAAAGAAAGAAUCGAACCAUCCUUGACAUGACAAGGUCCAUGCUUAAGGAGAAGAAUUUGCCAAAAGAAUUGUGGGCAGAAGCUGUAGCUUGUUCGAUUUAUUUGUUGAAUCGAUGUCAAACAAAGAGUGUCAAAAGGAUGACACCACAAGAAGCUUGGAGUGGAUAUAAGCCGAGUGUUGCACACCUAAGAGUUUUUGGGUGUGUUGCAUAUGCUCAAGUUCCAGAAGCCAAGAGGAGAAAGCUCGAUGAUCGAGGUGAGAAGUGUGUGUUGGUGGGCUAUAGUGAAGAGUCCAAGGCAUACAAGCUCUACAACCCACUAACUGGCAAGCUAGUGGUUAGUAGAGAUGUCAUCUUCAGUGAGGAAGAGGCAUGGAAGUGGAACAACAAAGAAGUCAGUAAAGAGAAAGAUCGUCUCCACUAAUUUUGAAGAACCAGAAGUUGUACCACCUGUUGAGCAACAACCUGCUCAAACACCACAACAACUCCAUUGCACAGAACUGCAAGGAGUGGUCCUACAUCUAGUGAAGAAAGCAGCUCUUCAACUCCAGUGUGAGACUAAGAAGUCUCACCGAGAUAUAUGGACAAGAAGAAGAAGAAGAAACCAACCUUUUCUGCUUGUAUGCAGCCCACGAGCCUCUCUCAUUCAAUGAAGCUGUGGAGAAGAUCGUUGGAGAAUAGCCAUGGAGGAAGAAAAUCCAUGCCAUCGAGAAGAAUGACACUUGGAGUUGACAAAGCUCCUACCAAAUCAGAAGGCAAUUGUGUGUCAAGUGGGUGUACAAGAUCAAACGCACUGCAGAUGGGAGUGUGGAUCGGUACAAAUCAAGGCUUGUAGCAAAGGGCUACAAACAAAAGUAUGGAGUGGACUAUGAUGAAGUCUAUGCUCCAGUUGCAAGACUUGACACGGUAAGAUUACUAAUCUCUCUUGCCGCUCAUUUCAUAAAUGGAAAAUUUAUCAACUAGAUGUCAAGUCAGCCUUCCUUAAUGGAGUACUUGAGGAAGAAGUGUACGUGGAACAACCAGAAGGCUUCCAAGUACAAGGAGAGAGAAGAAAAGGUGUAUCGUUUGAAGAAGGCUUUGUAUGGCCUCAAGCAAGCACCACGAGCUUGGAACUCAAGGAUUGACAACUACCUUCACCAAAAUGGAUUUUCAGAAAUGUCCAUACGAGCAUUCAGUUUACAUGAAGAAUGGUGCAAAAGGGGAGUUCUUAAUUAUUUGUCUCUAUGUAGAUGACUUGUUGUUUACAGGAAACAAUGAAGCAAUGUUCUGUGAGUUCAAGCAAUCCAUGUUCAGUGAAUUCGAGAUGACUGACAAUGGAUUAAUGUCAUACUUUCUUGGCAUAGAGGUGAAGCAAGAAAGUGACGGUAUCUACAUUCUCAACAAAAGUACAUGAGAGAUAUAUUGGAGAAAUUCAAUAUGGAUAAGUGCAAUAUUGUCAACACUCCAGUUGCAACUGGAUUGAAGCUGUCCAAGGAAGGAGAAGGUGAGUUUGUAAACUCAACCGUGUACAAAAGCUUGGUUGGAAGUCUAAGGUACCUUACAAUCACAAAGACCUGAUAUAGUUUAUGGUGUUGGACUCGUGAGUCGGUACAUGGAAAUACAAGGGAGUCUCAUUGGCUGGUUGCCCAAGAGAAUCUUGAGGUACAUAAGAGGUACUCUAAAACUAUGGUCUGUUUUAUAAUUUUUGGUGAAGAUGCAAAAUUAUUUUGGUUAUUCAGAUAGUGAUUGGGGAGGUGACCAAGAUGAAAGGAAAAGCACAACUGGCUAUGUGUUUUUUCUAGGAUCAACAGCUUUCUCAUGGACUUCAAAGAAGCAAUCAAUUGUUGCUUUGUCAUCAUGUGAAGCCGAGUAUGUUGCUGUAGCCUCAACAGUAUGUGAAGCAAUUUGGUUAAGAAAUCUAUUGAAGUCAGUGUGUCAUCCACAAGUGGAAUCGACUGUGAUUCAUGUGGAUAACAUGUCUGCAAUCAAGCUUGCAAAGAAUCCUGUUCAACAUGGAAGGAGCAAGCACAUUGAUACCAGGUUCCAUUUUCUAAGGGACCAUGUGAAGCAAAAGACAAUAGAGCUUGUCUAUUGUCACACGAAGGAACAAGUGGCAGACAUCUUCACUAAGCCAUUACCAGUUGAAUCAUUCCGGCUAUUACGUGAAAUGCUAGGCAUGAAGGCGUUUUAAUUUGAGGGGCCAUGUUGGAAAUUCAAAUUAAAAGUCAUGUCAUCUGUCCAUGUGAUGCUAACCUUUCUUUACAGAUUGUUUCCAGCAAAAUAUAAUCAUCAUUGCUCCUUCAUUAUUCAGCCGAAUGGUGAUGAAAGACAGCAAGUGUGCUGCCAUGUGAUGUGCUAGCAGGAAGACAGCAGUGUGCUGCCAUGUGCUAGUCGAAUCUGUGUUAUUUGCAGCUGGAAAGACAGCUGCUGUGUGCUAGCCGAAUGUAGACAACCUGGAAUACAUUUGGUCUUUUCAUUUUCACGUUCCCAUGUGUUAAAGACAGCAGAUAUGCUGCUGUCUGUGUGCUGUCAAUGGAUGGUGUAAAGGUGUAGGUUGUCUUGUAUUUAAGGAAGCCUCUCGUAAGGCUUCAGUGUGCAUAAGAAAAAUCCCAUCUGAUUUGUCAUUCAGUUCUUGAAGUGUAUUUGCAAUCUGUUUUUAAUAUCAAAGUGCCUUGUUUCCCAAAGCUUGUAGCUUCCCUCAUUUCUCUAUUUUUGUCCAAUUUUAUUGAGAGUGAAAGUGAGAGGUGUGAUAGAGUUUGUAAACUUAUCACCCACAUAUUUUGGUAUUGAGUUAGUAAACUUCUCAAUACCAACAGCUACAACAAGCGAACAAAAUGAGUGAAACAAAUUUAAAAUUGUGAUCCACACACUUCCAAUGCGCCUCUGGAGCCCGAAUUUUAUUCCAAGCAACUCCCAAUCAACCAGCAUUUCGUUUGCAUUUUCGUUAUACAUUAGUAAUUGAAUUUUUGUUAGAAAGUAAUUCUGCCCCCUCAAUACAAAACGCGGUAAGCUCUUAGUUCGAUCUUCACCUAAAGCUCUACAUGAUCUCUCCGUUCAAGGCCUAAACCCUAUAUUUCAUUUCCCUUUACACACAUCCUUCUAAGUUUUCUACUUUUGCUCAAAAAUUCGAAAUUUUACUUUGCGUAUUAUCAAGUGAAAUAUUUUCCCACAUUUUCAUGGUUUUUAUGAACAAUCAAACACUUUUCAUAAGGAUUCGACGUAAACUAGCAGUGAAGGCUGUCGACUACCUGACGCCCUCCCCCUCCUUCUUUAUCCGGGCUUGGACCAGCAAUGUAAGAUAAACUUUAUGAACAAUCAAACACUAAGCAGAAAAUAAUUUAUGAAAAUAUUAAAAAGGUUUAAAAAGGAAGAAGCUUUUUACCAUGAGCGACGGUGAUGACGUUGAGCAAGAUGAUGCUCCUAACUUUCUUGGAAGCGAAAAAGAUCCUUCGCCAUAGAGAUCGUUUGCCGAACAAGGACUUGAAGCUUAGGGUCGUUACUCUCCUUUCGUCUUGCGAUCGAUUUCCACUAGAAUUUUUAACCAAUGUGGUUGGGUUCGGAUUCCGAUUCGGAUUCGGACGAUCCAAUUUCACUGGCUUUCAAAGUCCCUGUUUGGCAUUAGGUUUAGAGCUACUACUAGGAGAAGAAGGAGGAGGAGGAGGAGGAGGAGGAGAAGAAGCGGUUAAACGGGAUCGUUUCCGGGGAUUUGUGUGGAAGGAAGAGAAAGUUGAGAAGUUAGAAGAAGAAGAGCAUUUGAUGGCGGUGGUGGCGCAAAUUGAUGAGUUCCACGACCACCCGAAUGGUGAUUGGGCAGCCAUGCCUGAGCACUGGAGCACUGAACCCAGAACAACUGCGCGUUGUGGCUGGCUGGGAUUAAUUACCAGUUACACCUGAAAUUACUGAAACACCCUCGUUGAGAUUUUGGUUAAGGAAGUUGAUAUUUUGGUCAAGGAGUAAACUGUCGGUUUACCCCCUGAACUUUUACCUCACUUUCGAUUUCCCCCUGAACUUUUCCAUUGGAAAAUUAAGGACUCAAACUAAUUUUUUUAGCCAAUUUGCCCCCUACCGUUAGUUUUUCAUAUAUUCUAUCCAUAUUUCCGUUAAGUGAGACCAUGUGCACAACAUGUGAGGGUAGUUAAAUUAUUUCACUCUUAAAAAUGAUUAAAAAACUGAAAAUAAUAAAAAAAGCAAAACUUUCCCUCUAUUUUUUCCUGCUAAUUCCUAUCCUCGAUUUUAUUUUUCCCUCUCAUUCCUAUGCAUGAGAAAUGACAUAUAGUGUUAUUGUCUACCAUUUUUAUUUUCUCUAACAAAUUAAUAAUUUGACAAAUGCUAAUGGUGCUAUUGUCUCCAAAGCAGUGCAUUAAUAUAAGAAACCCUAGUCUUUUUUAUGGACAUGUUUCUUAUAUUAAUGCACUGCUUUUGAGACAAUAACACCAUGAGCAUUUGUCAAAUUAUUAAUUUGUUAGAGAAAAUAAAAAUGGUAGUACAUGCUUCAAAAAAAAGAUUAACUUAGCUACUUAUGAAGACAAUAACACCAUAUGUUAUUUCUCAUGCAUAGGAAUGAGAGGGAAAAUUAAAAUUGAGGAUAGGAAUUAGCGGGAAAAAAUAGAGGGAAAAUUAUUAUUAUUUAUUUAUUUUUAGUUUUUAAUCAUUUUUAAAUUGAAAUGACUUAACUAUCCUCACAUGUUAUGCACAUGAUCUCACUUAACAGAAAUAUGGAUGGAAUAUAUGAAAAACUAACGGUAGGGGGCAAAUUGGCUAAAAAAAUUAGUUUGAGUCCUUAAUUUUCCAAUAGAAAAGUUCAAGGGGGAAAUCGAAAGUGAGGUGAAAGUUCAGGGGGUAAACCGACAGUUUACCCUUUGGUCAAGUCUCCGACUAUCAGUUAAAAUAUCUAUAAAAAAUUAUUAGGACGGUUCAGUUCGGGUUAUCUAAAAGUUAAUAUAAAUAAUGUUGGGCAGAUUAAAUUUUCAGAUCAAAUUAAUAAAAAUGAAAAUGUUAAUUAAUAUUUAAUAAUAAUUUAAUCACCAACUAUCAUUUUACAUGAUUUAUAAAAUAUAAUUUAAAUAGAUGGUAGCUUUUGUUCUUUAGUGCUUUUGCUAAAAGCUCUUUUAUCAUUAUGAGAUUGAGACUUUAAUUAAAAAACUAAGUUUGAGACUUUAAUUAAAAAACUAAGUUCUUCUCGAAAAAUAUAAGCAUGCCAAUAGAUUGAACUUGUUUAAAACAUCAGCAUUAUAAUGAUAUCACACUCAAUUCAUUAUUUCUCAGAGAAUUAAAGACAAACCAAAUCGGAAACCGAAAUAAGCAACAGUGCUAACUAGCUUGCUCAACUCUCAGGCCUUUAUUCUUGAAGAUAGUAAUAUUACUCAAUGUUCCAUAUCGUAUAUGUAUGCAUAAAUCUUGUGCUUGGCGCUUAUUCCUUGAGAAGAUGUGCAUCAACAUCUUUAAUGACAGUGACCGCAAAGCUGAGGAACUUCUGUGGAGGCGGAUCGUUCUCGUUGAGUUUUUCAUAUUCUAAAGUAAUUUUCACAGAACUUCCUUCACUAUUUGGAGUGAUGAUCUGGUAAGUGACCUUGAAGCUUUUGUAAUU